rnacentral:lncRNA from 1 species
CGUGUAGAUCCGGCAACGUAAAGAUCUACUCCGGCGUUGCACGGCCCUGCCCCGGUCAUCUGCCCACGACGCAGCAGGUGGAGGUCGCCGUGGAACCCGGCUUCUACGACGCCCAGCUCCAAGCUCGUCUCGCCCGCCGCCGGACGACCUCGCCAAGCCGCACGCGACGCGACGCCUGCGACGACCGAGCCACACUCGUGCGCAGCAGGUGGAGGACUAGGUCGCCGCGGAACCCAGCUUCUACGACGCCCAGCUCCAAGCUCGUCUCACCCGCCGCCGGACGACCUCGCCAAGCCGCACGCGACGCGACGCCUGCGACCCCUACACCGGCCUCUGGAACUGGUCCAUGUCCGUCCCUUGCUCCCCUCCUCUUAUCUGUCUCUCUAUUUCUUUUGUUCAGAAAGUCUAUGCUUUGUUACUUGGUUCUCAUGUGGGAUAGGAUGCAAGAGUUUUAAUUUGGUAGUGAUUUGUUACUGCUUGUUAAGUGCUACUAAUUUUGUCUGAAUCAUGCGCUUCUGAAUCCUAGAUAGAUAGUAUUGUUUCAGCACCUGCAUUUUGUAUUGAUCUGAACCUGCAUAAAUUUCUUAUUGAAGUGGACAACACGAUGGCUUGUGACAGUGGAUCCAACAAUGCAGAUAGCAGAGCAUAUCUCCAUGCAUCAAAAGCUUUGUUUUUAGCACUACUACUACUAUUAGGCAAUAGCAAUCACUACAUUAAACCUGCAAUUUCUUAUUGGUCUGAGCCUUUUUAGCUUGGUCAUCUCGAAGUUAUGUGAGCCUUUGAGGGAUACAAUUUUGUUGGAAAUGUACUGAAUUGAAAUUCACUUGCGGCAUGAAAAAAUUGCUAGCCUCAAGAUGUCUUUUAUAAAAUCACUGUGCUUUAAGGGGUACAAAUUCUGAAAGAUCAUCUUUCUUGUAGCAAAUUCACAAGUUUGAGAAAGUUCAAUUCAGUUUUGUUCAGCAACUUUUGAUUUUUGUGUAUGUAACUCCUUCCUCAAGCUGUCUGGAUCUUGAUUACUAUGCAGGGAUACAUACAUAUUGAAAAACUAGUUUCCUGUUUAGAAGGGCCAUGCACAAAUGAAUAUGUGUUUCUCUUUUUAUUUAUUGUAUCUGUGUAAAGAACAUUAACUUUGGAACAAUUUCCAAGCAUACAUGAAAAGGAAGGAGCCUGAUCUAAAGAAGCAAACGGAACCUCUUCUACAGAUGUCACAGCUGAAUUUGCGAGUCGUUGUCACCUCAAAUUUACAACUAAGUAUGUUUCUUCUCUCUGGUUUCUUUGUAAGCAUGUAAGAGUGAAACAUGGAAAGGGAGCCAGAGUUUUCUGCCAUAUGUUUUUGAAGAUACCCUACCGCUCCAGAGUUAGAUAUAAAUAACUUUUUAAUGUUUGUAAAUGCAGGAUGAAAAGACAAGACUCUAGAGUUAGAUGCAAAUAACUUUUUAAUGUUUCUAAAUGCAGGAUGAAAGACAAGGCUCUAAAGAUUAUUGGUAUUGUAGAAAACUGCCCUGAUGGUAUGUAUGGAAAGACAAGGCUCCAAUUUGCACAUGCAGAAACUGUUAUUCCUUUUUUACUUCCUUACUAGUCUCUUUGCACCUCUUUCGCUUAGUCCUAUUCUUGAAAUCCUUCCUCUGAAUUGUAUGCCUUGUUUGACACAUUUAUCUAUAUAAUAUAUGAUAUGUGUUGCAUAAAUUUCGCUCUUUUGAAUAUUUCUGCUGUGUCAUCUUUGAUAGUCAUGCUGCUAGCACGGACAUGGAUGUGUGUCCGGACAUGGAUGUGUGUCUUGCCAAUGAUGUUGGCUAUCUAUGAAAUUAGAGGAAUGGACAUGUCGUUUCUACCCUAAGAACUUCUACAGGAGCAAGGUGUGAUAAUUUCUUUUUCCUUUGUUAUUCUAUUAGUGUCAGAUGCUAUAAAACUAAAAUUCUGAGAUUGCCAGGCUACAUUUUUUGUAGGCCUAUGGGCAUCUUUGAAUUGUCUAUUCUUCUUCUUAUUUUUUUUGGAUCUUGAUGUUUCUUUGCAAAGUAUAAGUUGAAGUUGGUCAUUACGUGGGAAAAUGCAUCAACAACUCUAUUAUUAGAAAUUCGUUACUGAAUGUUCUUUGUUUAUUUUCUUGCUUGUUGCAACAGGGGUGUUGCUUGAUGCCCUGGCACCAUCAACAACUUCAAGGAGUUCGGAGAGGACGCCAGGUCUAAGACUGCAAGGUCAUCAUCAUCGAUUGGUGAGGAGAGUGACCAAAAAUAUUUCUUUAAUAUAACCUACAAUUCAAGGCAGAUGAGAAUCAGUUAAAUGUUACUCUCUUAGUGCUCUUUCUCAUUGCUCUAAUUGUUGUGGAAACAGAAAACACAUACAAUAGUUGCUUCCACUACUAUGGUAUUAUUAUAUGUAUUGUACAUAAUGUACAUUACUAAUGGAAGGUAAGAAAAGUUUGGAAACAAAGAGAGAAGAAAAGAGGGGACAAAAAGACUCUAGGAGGGCCUAGCAGAUUCAGCUAGGGGUUUGACCCAAUAGAGAAUUAGAUAUCUGGAAGUUGAAUUAGAUAUUGUGAAGCAUAUCAAAGAAAGAAAUCACAGUCCACCCUCAAUGAAAAUACCAAAUUGUCAAUUGUUGCUGCCAUCCCCAUCAACAAGGGGCUCAACUUCAGCAAUAUCAUAAAACCUAUUCAAUUCUGCGUGUCAUAGGAAAAUCUCAAAUAAAAGUUAUAUCAUCCAUUAUUUGGCGAACUAAACCAAAUUGAAGACCUUAGAGUAGGUAGGCAUGAAAAUUCUUUGUACAGUUGCACUCUUUCUUGCUACCUAAUUCCAGCACUAAAUCUCAUUGCAUUUUUUCUUUUGUGUGCAAGAAGGAAAAAUCAUAGCGUGCGAGGACAACGACAUACCAGGUUUGAAUAUUAGAAUUGUGCUUUCUUUAGGCUCAAGUGUUUACUAUCAGCAUUCGGUAUUUUAUUUAAGAUCAUUUUAUCUGAUAGUUGAAUGUAAUUCAUAUUACAUAAUGGGUUGAAUGUAACUGAAUAAGAAAUUGUACAACCUGUUUAUUUGAGUAAGGGCAAACCAUGCAUGUUGCAGAAUCCCCUCCCUCUCCGUGAUUAUACAGUUAUGGCGUCAUUCAACUAUUGCAUUAGUCGAAACGGACACAAAAGACAUCUCUGACCGAAACUGAACAAAUAUUUGCAGUGCAUAUGAAUUGAAGGAGAUAGACACAAAAGUACAUGCAUGAUACAGGGCAUGGAGCUGAGCUAGAGUGCCAGCUUCUGGUGGUGAUUCAGAGGCCGCAAAGUCCACAUCCUAUAGUGCUCAGCUUGGUUAGUAGGGUUCUUGUAAGGAUUGAUCUCUGACACUGGUGUCCGACCGGUGCUAUAAUUCCUCAAUAAAGGACCGGCUCCUCAAGCGUUGCACCCCGUGUCCCGGCUGCCGUCGCCGCGCUCCGUAGUUCGCCUGCCGCCGUCAGUCAUUGACCCAGGCACGCAACCAAUCGCACAGCUUGAGGCAGCAACGAUGGAGGCAAAGCGCGGGACGACGCCCAGCCUGGGCCCGUUUAGGUGCCGCACUCCACGCCUUUGCGCCAAGAAUCACGCCAACUCCGACGUCUACUGCAGCCAGCGGAGGUACGUCCUCAGGGUGUUUGAUGAAAUGGCCGUUCGAAAUGCCGUGAGUUCAAAAUCCUUGCCUGUCUCCGUCUCCUCCUCCAUUUACUUGAAUAGGUGGCCAACCAGCUAGCUAUCACGGCACGGCAGUGCGGCAGCGGUCAGUCUAACUGCGUUGUGUCAUGGUGACACGAACCCACCCGCUCUUCCCUGGACGGCGCGAGUCACCAGCGAUGGCAUCGGCAGCUGGCGUGGCAGACCACUUCCUCGUAUCCUUCUCUUUCAUCCUUCAACGACCCAAUGCUGAGGAGGACGGCAAGAAGGUCUAGGCCUUCCUCAUGGAAAUGGAGAGCGCCAUCAGGAACCAUCUGCUCUGGGCCAACGCCACCAACUAGGAGAUCGAACACACACUCAAGGUGAAGCCCUGCCCCACUGCUCCUUGUUUUUCAGUAAAAAUGAGUUGCUAUUGUUUCAAGUGCAUAAUCAAUUUUUUACCUGAAUAUCCCUAUGCGAGUAGCUACCUGUGAUCCUAUUUUCUUUCACACCUUUUAAUUUAAUGGACGGUCACAAUCUACACUUCUUUUCUUUGUGCCUUUUGGAUGGUGUAAGUAUUAGUUUAUGUUUUUUGAAGUGUAUAUUAAUUCACUGUUUGACAAUAAUGUUUCUGGGGAAGUAGCACUCAGAAGUGUUCAAAUAAAGAUUCGAUUUUUGUUCACUUUAGACUUCCACAUUGUAUUUGUGUGCAUAGAAUGAUAGAACUGGACAAACUGUGUUAAAUCAUUUCUCUGCUCGACAAUGUUGCUCUGGUUGCAGAAGUCAAGCUCGUGACUGAUAAAGAGUAAGUGAACCAUUCUUCUGUGCUUCAGAACAUUAUGCUAUUCGACUGCUGCCUGAUUAAUCUCUCAAUUAGGCACCAUAAUAUCCAAACUAUAGUAACAUAAAAAUAUUCUCUUACAGUUGUAUUUGCUGUUCCGUGAAAUCAUCCAAAUAUGCUGAAUAAACGGAAACCCAUGAUACGCUAUGGAAUCAUGGUAGCGACUGUUUUAAUUGUAUCAAAUGUUGUAUGGUUUACUGCUUGGUACUGCAUUUCAACCAUGCCUUUUGUGACUAGACUAGAUAAAAAAAUGCUCUUCCUUAACCUUUCAUUGAUAACAGGCAAGACAAUCAGCUGUGGAUCGCAACAACCACCUCAACUGGCUAUUAGAUUUGUUUAAUGCCAUUUCUAUUCUUUCUCUGGUACUUAUCGAGAUCAUGCUCAGGGUGUCUGCCUCCACAGAACAACGCCACCUCAGAUUGAGUUUGAUCCUCAGGAGUGGGGAAAGAAAUCACUUCCUUUUUUCUCUGAAUACCAGUAGGGCGUCACACAUGCCCUCCUGUUUCCAAAAAAAAAAAUCUGAAACUUCCUUGGUUCAAUCUUUCUUGCAUGGGUUCUAGAGAGGUUCUUUCUUUUGUGCUGUGGUCGUUGCUUAAUUGAUUUCCAUUCUACGCAGGUUAGCUGGAACAUGACUCGAGCAAAAUGUGUUGCAGAUUAAUUGCUAUUUUGUGGAUUUCAGUGUGCUGAAUCUGUUUAGGCAUUUGAUAUUUCUUUCUUUAGUUUUUUGCACGUGGAUCCCCAUAUCCUAAUUUAGGCAUUUGAUAUUUCUUCUGUUUGAUGGAUUUUCCAUGCCCUACUUGCUUGUAGCAGGCAACUGCUGAUGAUUGGUUUCAUUAUGAGUCGAGGGGCAGCAGUGGAGUCAGCAAAGGGGGUGGCUAAUGAUGCAGAGCAUAGGCAAGCAACUCACCUUCAACAUGCCAUAGCCUAUGCCAAAGAGAUUGUAACAAGCGUUAAGUGGUGACCGUGAUUUGUAAAGAUUGACAUCUGAGGAUUACUGUCAAGUGUCCAUAUAUCAUAUAGGUUGUAAAGUAUCUGUGCAGCCUUUCCAGAUUUUUUAUAUUUCGCAAACAGCAUAAACUCACUAUGGAGUUCAAAAAAGAUACAAUAUAUUUAACUACAGCCACAUUUUAUACAUUUAUCCUAUUUAUAUUUCUUCAUGUAGUAAUUUUUAAGGAUUCAUCCUACCAUGAUUUAAUGCAAUCUAAUUAUCUACGGGAAUACUCCAUCUCUUUACCUCCUUUUAAAUGCCUCCAUUUCUCGAAUAUCAUUAUGAUUGAUUAUUAAUUAGAAGCUGAUGUAACAACGGAAAAUGCAUUUUGUUGUAUAUAAACCUUCAUCAACGCCAAACGCAGUCCUUUUCUCUUAGAGUGAUAUAUACAAAUGGUGUUCCCACUUCCUGCUUUCAAAAAUAAAAAAUGUGUUAAAAAUUUAUUAGUCUUCCAACUAACAAUGCUUCUUUUAUAUUUUGCAUCACUAAAUAAGUAAACAUACAUUAAUAUGAAUGUAGUCCUUUCUACUCCGCGUUGACAUAACCGGGUAGCCUACCGCGCUGAGUUUCUAGUAAGAUGUAAAGUUGCGCCUCAAGCCCAUGACAAUAGUGGGUCAGGCCCACGGUCCAGGGGCGUGUUUGCGCACCUGGCUCAGCUCACCCAAGCUUUGCCAAGCUAGCCCCUACUGAUGCAACUACUCUUGUUUGCGCACCAUGUGCCAACUGAGCCUGGCUCGAGUGAGAUGGUGUUUGUUUUGCUUGUACCAGUGGAUAUGCCUACCGCGUGACCAGCAAAUGGUAGCCUUACCACCCACCAUUCUCUUCUCUAUCCUCAUAGUCAUUUCAUCGAACACUCAUGGGGUCUGCCUAAUGCGACGGUGGCGGAGGUCCAUGGCAGCCAUGACACACUCGGCUCUGUCAACACGGCCACCGCUCCAGCCAAGUCGUCAUGCUGGCGAGUUCCAUCACGUCAUGCACCGCUUCCACUGGUCUCGUGUCCCAAUGGUCGUGCAGAACGGGCUUGUGUUCAAAGCCGACGAGUCCCUGCCCGGUGCCCCGUGCCCUGCGGCGGCGCGCACCGGCGGCGACGUGCGCCACGCGUGCCUGCGCGAGCAGCGGCGGUGCGCCCCGACGGCCACGCGCGCCUGGCGGUGGCGUCCUCUCGGUGCCCGCGCGAGCAGAGGCGGCGCGCCCCGGUCGGCCACGCGCGCUAGGCGGCUGCGCCCUCCCGGUGCCCACCCGCCUUGCGGUGGCGCGCCCUGACGGCCAGCCACCCCAUCGGCGGGAUCCGCGGGAGGACGAGGAGGACGCCGACGAGGCGGAGGAGGCGGUGGACGAGGACGACGAUGAGCGCGGCGCCGCAGGGGUCGCUGUCUGCCGCGCCUCAUCUGCAGACUCGUGCUCCGGGACGGGCACCGUCGGUGCUGCAGGCACGUGGGACGCGGUCCGCCAGUGCGUGCGGAACGGGGACAUGGAGCGCGCCUUCCGGCGCACGGAGCGGGUCCGGACGCGGCCACGCUCGUCCGCCUCCACCUCCUCCCGCACCGCGUCACCGCGGUGCGCGUCCGCGUCCGCGGAGGCGGCGUCGUGGGGGAAGUCGAGAAGCACGGCGGGGUCCGGGUGGGGCUGGAGCAGCGCAGCGGCGAGGUGGACGGGGCGGAUCUGGCCGUUGUGGACGGGGCGCCAGGCGUUCCUAACGGGACUCCAGUGCCACCCGCACCUGGGACUCCAGGGCGUCGACGGCCGAGCAGUCGGCGGCGCCGACUAUCUCGACGGCGAGGGUGGGGUCGGUGGUGGUCAUGUCGACGAGGAUGCCUGCUGGGGCCAAGCCAGAGAGGGUGGUGGAGCAGACGUCGGAGGGCAAGCCAACCAUGAGAAAGAUGACAUCGGCAGCAGCGGCGGCCGUGCGCGAGGCGGUGAGGGAGAGGCAUCGGUGGUUGAGAGGAUGAGAGUGGAAGGUGACUCGAAUUGCUCUCUCAGAGCCGUAAGGAGCCGCAUGUAGCCGAGCCCAAAAGAAACGAACUCAGCCGGUGUUUCCCCAGAGCCAGGCUUAGGCGUCAUUUUUGCAUCUGGCGAGCCGGGCUGAAAAUUGAGCCAGGUGCACAAACACAACGACCUGGCCCCCAUGAGCCCAAUUCCCCAACGGGCCACCCCCGCAAACGCCCCAAUGCCGCCUCUUCUUCCCAUAUAAACGUUGAGACUAGCCGAAGAAUGCGAAUCUGCGCAAAGCAAAAACCAAGAAACCAGAGAGGCGAGACGACCAAGAAACGAGAGAGGCGAGACGAGAGACCAAGAAGCUCUUCUCCUCCGCGCUCGCCGAUGGGAGCGGUGAGCAGUUCGCUGCUCCGGCGCGGAGCAGGGGCGGCGGUCCGAGCUCCGCCGAUCUCUCUCGCUUCACGGCCAGAGGCCGCAGCCCCGCCGGCGCCAGUCCUCUCCGGGGCCGCGCAUCUGGUCUUUGAGGCCUCGCUCGCCUGUCCGUGGAACUGGGAUCCCAAAGCUCCCGGCGCCCUCUCCGACGGGAACUUCGUUCUGAACCUGGAUGGGGCGGCGGUGAUGCGUAGGCGGCUCCAGUUCGGCCUCUUCGUCGCCAUGAACGAGCUCGCGGACGGGGAGGGGGCCGCGGUGCGGAGGCUACAGAUCUGCACGAGGGCAGAGAUAGCGGACUGGAUCCCCUUUGUAAGACAGGUGGGCAUACUCCGUGAACCCCAAGCUUCUGAUGACGGAGAUUGUCUCUUUUGUCUCGAACCUCUCACGAAGGAUCGACUGCGCAGUCUACCAUGUGGCCACACGUUUCAUACGUCGUGCCUAGAGUACCAUUUCAUCAAGAACAGAGUUAUGGAGAACAGAGGUUUUCGGGCUGCAUGUCCGGUUUGCCGCGAUGCGGUAAUUCAGUCAGAUUUCUAGGACUGUUAUUGGGCUAUAUGUCCUUUUCUUUAGGUGUUCAAACUCUUUUUUUUCUGGAGUACUAAGAUUUUUUUACCUUAGCAUUAAUAUCUGUGAAAAAGUACUUAUUGGAAGAGAAAGAGAAGUAUGAAUGGCAAGUAUUUUGUGAUAAAAUUUAAAUAUUGUUACGUUAAGUAUUUCGGGGCAGAGAGAAUAGAUAAUUCUAACUGAUUAUUAAUAAUCUAAUAAUAGAAUCAAUGAUUUUUCAGAUGGUACCGUUAUAAUUUUUGAAGUUCGGAGAAACAUCAUUACUAUUCACUUAUUUUGAAAUGUGCUAUUACAAUUCUUUAUUUCUCACAAGAAUGUCACAAGAUAUGUAUACAAACAAGAAUGUCAUAAUUCUUUAUUUAGCAAGAGGAACCAAACAGGGCCUUAAUACAAAGAUACACAGCUCUCCUGCGUGUUUGAGAAAAAAAAAGAUUUACUACAAAAUGCAUCCCAAGAACUGUUGUCAAAUGGUUUGAUAUUUUUUUUUGCAUGAUGGUUCUUGACAAAGGCGUUCCCUUUUUUAUGAUUAAGAUACGAGAAACAUGCCUUUCUAGCAACAAAAGCUCCAACAUUCAGUGGAAUAUAACUUUAGUGAAUACAUUGAUCAUGGAAAUGCUAACACAUUCCAUUCCAAGGAAAUAAGGAAUAGACAAAAAGCAUUAAUUCUUUUGAAAGCCAAGCUAUAAUCAAACUCGCUAAUACUAUUUUCAUUGUAAAUCAGAAUUAAUUUUGCAGUUAUAUUCUAUCUGCUAACAUUCUAGCACUUUGUUCUUGAACUUCCAUUUUUGGUUUCCCCUUUGCCAAUCAUAUCUUGUUUGAGUGUCAUCACGAUGACAAAACCAGUCAGACUUCCGAAACAAUACUAACAUCAAUUUGCUAAAAAUGCAGGCCCCAUUUUCAGUAAGACACUCUUCUCGCGGAAUUUUCCGCACCAGGACACUAAAUCUUCGAUCUAUCAGUGUGGUUGGCUAUGAUAUGGAUUAUACAUUAAUUCAGUACAAUGUGAUGGUACUUCAUGGCCCAUUUUCUUGAUUUGCCUAUAAACUUUUCUGAUGCCAAGAGUUACACUCUUAGAAAACUCUGUAAAUCUGUUGAGCUGAUUUGACUGGUAACAACAAAGGAUGGCGUAUGAGUGAUUUAAAUUUCCAAGUGAAUUAAAGUUGUUUUUCCUUUAAUUUUUGCUUCAUAAAGUGUCAUGGGUUAGAUGCUGUGAGUUUUCAAUGUGUUUGUAAUGUAGAUAAUUUUAGAUAUAAAUAUUUCCUCCAAUCCCUAUAUUCCCAUUUGUACACUGACUUAAUUUCUAUGUAAAUAUAUGCGGUGUCAAAUUCAAAUAUGAAGGGUUAUAUAUUGCGAAAAGUAUUUUUUUUUCAUGAUGAAUCUACUAACAUCAGUCUUAUGUUGUCAAUGUAUAUGAAUUUUAGCUAUUGAUGGUCAAAGGUUAAAAUAAUAGUUUGACAUAGGAUAAAACCUAGGGCUUAUAUUUGGGUUGGAGCUAGUAUAAUUUUGCUCAAUGCAAAUAUUAUGGUAAUGACAUAACAUUUCUGCAGGCCUGGGAAGGACGUGCAUAUGACUAUGGGAUGGACAACCUCAAGAGCAUGGGUUUCCCAGUAGAUGACCUUAAAUUUGACCCUGACCUGGUAGUGCCUGCUGUGCACUUCUUUCAUAAUACCUUGAAGCACAUACAUCACCUCUAAUGAUACAAUUGCUGUGCCACAGGUCAUAAGAGGUCUUAUUAUUGAUAAAGAGAAGGGAAACUUGGUUAAAGCUGAUCGAUUUGGCUACGUUAAGAGGGCCAUGCAUGGUACUCAGAUGCUUUCCACUCGUGCUGUGAGGUAUAGGUAACACAUUUUGUCAAAGUUUCUGGGCUUCAGAGAUGAGAACUCUAAUUCAUGUCUUUGAAAUUUGAAUAGUGAAAUAUAUGGAAGAGAAUUGGUGGACCUGCGGAAAGAAAGUCGAUGGGAGUUUCUUAACACCCUUUUCUCUGUUUCAGAAGCUGUCAUGUUCAUGCAGGUUUCCUUACCUCUUCCUUUUAUAUGAUAUAGUCAUUCCAGUGUUUAUGUUAUGUGAUGUGAUGUGAUGUCACUUGACAUCUCAACUAUUUAAGUCCAUCUCCAUCUUUCUCAUUAGCGUACCCAGGGAGCUAAUGGUUUCUCUGUUGAUUUCCAAGUGACUGAGUUAUAUUUUCCAGAAGCUAAGUAUUUGUCUAGACUAGCUAAAGCAUAAAGACUUGGCAAGAGUUGCAGAAAUGGUACAAGUUUAGAUGAGAUACUAUGCUAAGCAAGCCAGCUGAAAUAUUUUUGCUAGUAGUAUGGUGUUCUCUGCUCUUUCAUCCUUGAAUAACCACACCUUUGCCUUCUAAGGACUUGGAGUUUGGCCAUAUUUUACCUCACUGAUUUGGAAAUUAAUUUAAUAUAUAGAUGUAAGUGUAGACAUGUCUCUUGAUGAUCUAACAACCAGAUUAUGAUCCUUCUGUUUGUUAGUAGUGGGUUUGUAGUAGCAUCAAACAGAAGUUGGUAAUACAUUGGCAUUUGAUUUGUCCUUGGCAGAAUAAAUCACAAUUAGGAGCCCAUCAAAGAAACAUGAUGUGUGCUCAGAAAUCUGAAUGUAUUUAUUCCAUAUCAAUACACAUCAACACAAUCAAUCCUGUUUUGAUUCAUUCAGGGAGUAGUUGUAGUGUUUUUCAAAUGAUAUAUAGACAUUCUGAAUUUGCAUGUGAUCUCUCACACUAAACAUUUCUCAAGUUUGAACUGAACCUGGAUAUUGCAAUUUUCUUCAGAUGGUCGACAAGUUAGAUCAGGGAUUGGUGCCAGCUGAACUUGGGCCAUUGGAUUACAAAGGACUGUACAAUGUAAUGAGCACUGCUGUUUCCUUUUCAUCUCGUUGAAGGGAUUACAUCAGCGUAGAGACCUGCUAUUACUAUAUUAUAUUAAAAAUAAAGUAAAAGAAUUAGUCUAUACAGAAACAGAAAGAAAAAAAAAGGUCCGCCCACCAAGCAAUGUCUCUUCUGAUUUGUGGAACUUUUGUCCUUGUCCACUUUUGCUAUGUAAUAAACGAAGUUUGGUGUACCUUUUUUUUCCAGGCUGUUUCCAAAGCACUUUUUCGAGCACAUGUAGAAGGCCAACUUAAGGUACUCUUCCCUUAAUCAUAAUAUGAUUAUGAUAUAUGACUAUUAUUUUUUUUUCUGAAAACUUCUUUAGCUGGUUGAAAUGUAGAGAGAAAUAAUGGCUGAGCCUGAGCGGUUUGUAGAGCCUGAUCCAGAACUUCCUUUAGCUCUUCUUGAUCAAAAGGAGGUUAGCGCAGUUCCACCUUAUGGUGCCAUAUGAUCAAUUCAAAGUAAUAGAACCAUUGUACUGAUAUGCUGCCUUUUCAAUCUAUCAGGCUGGAAAAAAGUUUCUUCUCAUUACUAAUUCAGAUUUCCAUUAUACAAACAAAAUGAUGAAUCAUGCAUUCAAUCGCUUUCUUCCUAAUGAUGUGGGAUGGAGAGAUCUUUUUGAAAUGGUAAGUUUUAUCUCUCUCCCUUAUACCAGCUUUGUAGAAGUGACUGUUUAACAGUCAUUGCUUACAACAUACUGGAAACUUUAUUAAUAUCCAUUGAUUCUUUCUUACUAUAGGUUAUAGUCUCCGCAAGGAAGCCAGAGUUUUUCCAGCUUUCACAUCCAUUAUAUGAGGUUGUAACAGAUGAUGGACUGAUGCGCCCCUGUUUUAAAGUAAAGUCAGGUCGAAUUCUUCACGCCGUUACUGUUGUGAACCAGUAACUCAUAGAACCUCCAAUAACUCUUUUUCUGUCACUUUGAAGGGACAUGUUUCGUUUCAAACUGUGAAUAUGUAUUAUGCUCUAGCAAAAAAAAAAAAAAAAACUCAAUGAAUGGAAACCAAAAGAAGAACUUAAGGAGGGGGGGGGGGGGCAUUCUUUCAUGGUAGCAUCCCUAUCUAAGAUGAUUUUUAUAGUUGCGACAUUAUAUUGUUUGGGAACAAAUCCAUUUUUGGCCCCCUCAACUCUUAAGUUUGUCUAUUUUUAACCCCAAACUACAAAACUAGUAAAUUUGGCACCUCAACUUUGAAUGUUGUUCAGUUUUUACCCCUCGGUCUGGUUUUGGUGGUUUUCAAAUAGCUUGGGCCCGCCUGUCAUAAGCUCCAUCUCUCCUUCCCCACCUCCCUCUCUCCCAACGCCACUUCCCAUAGCUAUAUCCAGAGUGCUCGCUUUUGCCCCGCUCCACUCACUUCUGCUGUGUGCGGACCACCCCGCCGCCUCGUACCUGUGUGCUACUGCUGCCGCAGACUGUCCCUUGCUCAUCACCAGAGAGAUGGAGAGACAGAGGAGGUGUGCCAUGGCCGAACUCGAUGCAGCCCCUGGGUGGACAAGAGAGAGAAAGGGCACCCCCAUGCCAUGGAGCACCAUUGGCCAUGGGGACAGCUGUGAGGGCAAUCUGCUGUGCGCUGGAUGAGGGAAGGAGGAGGCUGCAAUGGAGGACUGGUGGAGAAGAUAAAGAGGUGGACGGCUCUGAGAGCAUGUCUCCUUUGGUACAGUUGGACGUGGUGCUGUGGACGGUAGAGUGGGAGAGAGGCGGCAGUGGCAGAUAGAUAGAGGAGGGAAGGAGAUGGGGACAGUGGUGGUGAGAAAAGGAGGGGGAGAGAGAGAGAAAGAUGGAUGGAGUGUCAUGUGGGCCCAUGCUGGGCCCGAGUUACUGGAAAACCACCAAAACUAGGCUGAGGUGCCAAAAUUGAACGGUAUUGGUAGUUGAGGUGCCAAGAUUACCUGGUUUUGCAGGUGGGGUCAAAAUUAGACAAACUCGAGUUGAGGGGCGAAAAAGUAGACUUGUUCCUUUUUUUUUAGCAAAAGUUGUAACAUCAUUGCUUAUCGACAGCAGAACCACAUGUUGGUCUUUGUUGUGCAGAAGUUUGGAUGUUCUGAUGUGCAGGCACCAUGUUGUUUUCCCAUUUUGGUGCUUGGAUCUUGUCUUUCAUUAGUGCAGUAUGAUUCCUUUUUCAUUUUUAUUCUGAAAUGGAGAAGGGAGAGUUUGGAUUGGGGAAUAAAACAAGAGCUACUCCAACUCUUAUGCGUAAUUUCUUAUGUCACUAGACUAGAUCCUGCAACCUUAGUUUCUUUCUUCGAUAUGCUCUUCUCUAUUAUCCACUGCCAGUUUUGUGACUGACUUGCUACCCCUUUUAUGAAAUCGGUAUUUAGGUGGCUUAUAUUCUGGUGGUAGUGCUCAGAUGGUUGAGAAAUCACUAGACAUUCAUGGGGAUGAGAUAUUAUAUGUUGGGGACCAUAUUUACACAGAUGUAAGCCAGUCAAAAGUUCAUUUACGAUGGAGGACAGCAUUAAUCUGCAGAGAGCUAGAAGAUGAGGUUAGUUUGCUUACCUUUUCUGAGUAAUUAAAAAAAUAAUGACAAUGUGUAGAGCAUUAGGCAUUACAGAUUUACAGUAGCAUUUUAAUUUCUGGUUAGCAGGAGGAAGCUUUCUCUUGAACAUUUACUGAUUCUGUCUGCGGUAUUUUCCAUCUCACAUUGUAUUUCCUAUUUCUUAAAGGAAUUUUUGAACAAAAACUUCUCUGAUUCAUUUCAUUUGACGGUAUCAGGACUCUUAGAUUUGCCUUGCCUUGUAAUUCAUAUGGGUGACUUCUUGGAUCAGUUUUAGUUUAGUUGGUGCCUAUACGCUCUUAUUCCUUGCUGCUUGGGAGCCGUGGAAGCAUCGUAACAACUGCAUUUUUAACAAUGCCACUCCUAUGAUAUGGUGGUCAGGACGGUGAUUGAAGUAACUGUCCGGUGUGCUGCUGGGACCUCCCUGGUUCUAACUGUGUGCUGUGGCCAUCUUUCUGUUGUCCGUGGUGCGUUUAUUUAACAUUCCGCCAUUGUGGACUUGUGGUGGCCUUUGAGGUUAGGGCAUCAUCUUUGAGUGUUUUUUCUUUAUACCUUUUUUUUUCCUAUUUAGGGGGUGUUUAGUUCCCCUUCUAUUCCAAAAAAAUUUGGGUUUUGCUUCAUUAUUUUGCAUAAUGGAACUAAAUGCAAAUUUUUUGGCAAAAAGGUGGUUAUUCUCCAUUUUGGAUUUUGGCCUCAAGAGGCCAAAAAAAGCCAAAAGAGCCCCAAGAGGCUCUCAUGAGGGCAAUAAAUUCUGCAUUUUGGAUGGAACUAAACAUAACCCUGAAAAUUUUGGCAUUUUGCAUUCCAUCAUUCCAAAGUAGUUGGCAUUUUGCGUUUUGCAUUUUAUGGGGAACUAAACACCCCCUUAAUGAAAUGGCAAAGACCAGGAACGACAGAGCACAUUGUUGCCAUAGACCUGAGGCGUUUCAGGAAGGUUCAUUCAAAUUGUUUUUCUUCCACAUGGUAACAGAUACCAUUACAUGGGGAAACCAAACAAUCAAUGGGAUCGCCCAUUCCAUCGCUAAUUACAGUGUGAUCUGUUAGACUGUUACCAUUUACAUCUACGUUAUCACUGCAUCAACCAAACAGCACCUUAAUUCCAAUAUGCUGGUGAUACACUUAUACUGACCAUUAUCAAGUAUAUGCAUCUGUUGAUUCUGAAUUAAUGUGGAAGCAAACCUAGAUAGGCCACAAUUUGUUAUGCUGUCAGUGCUAUGUAGCCAAUCGAGUUGUAGUCUCUUGUUCACCAAUUUCCUCUUCUGUGUUUGCAGUUUGAUGCACUGGUCAAAAGCCAUGAUCAGAAAGAAAAGCUUGUUACACUUAUACAACAAAAAGAAAAUGUGGGGGAUCUUUUUAACCAGCUUCGCCUGGCUCUGCAGAGGCGCUCUAAUUCACGUCCUGCACAGGUACUAGAGUGAAGCCUGAUGCUUUAGUGAGCUUCAGCAUGCUGAAUGUCCUUUUCAGAUGUUUAAAACUUUAACAUUUGUAUUACUUUCAGCAGUGCACUGCUGCCAUGUAUGAAUUGUUAUACAUCUUAACCAAAAAUUAAGAUAAUCUGGUGAUUUUGGCUUAGUUUUUAGGACUCAGGGAUUUUGUAAAGUUCUCAAGAUGCUUGCACUGAUAUACAUUAUUUUUCAGACGCUUGCUGCAACUUGUAUGGAUGAACAGGAGCUUACGGAAAGUAUGCAAAAGUUGCUCAUUGUUAUGCAAAGAUUAGAUGAAAAGAUUGGGCCAAUGCUAGAAGCAGAUGGAGAACUUUUCAAUAAAAGGUACCUUAUUCUUGUAGCGAGUUUUGGAAAUCCUUCAAAUCUGGGUGUUCAGAUCUAUUAUCCCAUAUAUUUCUUACAUAAAUAACUGCUUUCAAACGUCAUUGCACUUAUUUCUGCUUCUGAUUUCCAAUUUGUAUGAUUUUAAUAUCCAUGUAUGUAAUCAAUUUAUCAGUCUUGUUCAUAAAUUUCUUGGUAUUUAUCUCUUUAAUUUUAGAAAAGUAAGCUAAGCAAGUAUGUUUUUCUUUUUCCUCUUAAGAUGGGGCUGGUUGUCAUGUGCUGGCCUAUGGGAUAAGAGUCAUCUGACCAGGCAAAUUGAAAAGUGAGUGGCUAUAAUUUUUUUGACAGUGAGGAAAAAUGUUGUAUGAACUCCAAACUGAAUGCAACUAAUUUUGCAUUUUCUGUAGAUAUGCUGAUAUAUACACAUCAAGGGUUUCAAAUUUUCUACACUAUACUCCAUUCAUGUAUUUCCAAUCUCAAGAACAGGUAAAUACACCGCUCCAUACUCGCUGCUGCACUUUACCUUUGGCUUUUUGCUAUUGUCGUUGUUAUGAUGCUUAGGCCUUGUUUAGUUUGAGAAAAAUUUUGGAUUUCGCUACUGUAGCACUUUCGUUUGUUUGUGGUAAAUAUUAUCCAAUCAUAGACUAACUAGGAUCAAAAGAUUCGUCUCGCGAUUUACAGGUAAACUGUGUAAUUAGUUUUUAUUUUCGUCUAUAUUUAAUGCUUCAUGCAUGUGCCGCAAGAUUCGAUGUGACGGGGAAUCUUGAAAAAUUUUGGAAACUAAACAAGACCUUAGUUCAUAUGGGGGUAAUGGCGGUAGGAUAAUGGCGCCAAGGCUUUGUGGCCUGGCUGCCGAAGCAAGGGGAUGAGAGAUUAGACUGAUAGCAGGGAGAUGAGAUUAGAGAUGGCAUGGGGGUGAGUUGAGAGAUAACUUCAUUCUUCAUUGCUUGAUUCAUUCCAUUGAUGCUGGUUACAAUAUAUAGGAGCUGGGCUCCUUGCUAGGCGCACAGACUCUGGCCCUUUCACACUUGAGGCCCCUUCAGCUGCUCCUUAAUUGCUAUUAAUAGCCUUGAUGACAUUGGCCCUUUCAGCCACCAGCCUCCUCGGGCUCCUGCACGCCUGCUGACCAUUGCAUGUCCCCAUGUAGCUGCUGACCAUGGGAGUCCCCAGGCGGCUGCCUGCUGCCUGCCCCCCAUGACAGUGGUGUUUAUUGGUUUAGAUUCAAGAAUACCAAUCUUCUUUACAAUGACUGAAGACUAAUUAGAGUAAUAGAAGAUGCUGCUUGCAGCUAGGCAGCUACCUUAGAGCUUGUGAAAAGAAUACAAGACAUGCUAUGCUGGUAGGACAAAUAUUGUGGCCAUAUUUUUCCAUUAGGGUGGUGACUUUACAGUUAUGAAUCAUCCAAGUAGAAGAGAACAAGAAGAGUAAAGGAAAAAGUCUAUAUAACCCCCCAAACUAUCUAGGGUGGACUACUUUAUUUCCUGAACUAUAAAACCAGAUAUUCUACCCCAUGAACUUUUCAAAACCGGUCAAAUAACCCCCUUGAGCGGUUUCGGAGGACGGUUUUGUCUUUUUCUUUUUUAUUUAUUUCCGUUGAAUCUUUAAAAAAUCAUAAUAAAUCAUAGAAAAAACAUAAAAUGAAAAAACUAAUCUUGUUGGACUCCACAUGUGUAGAUCUACACAGUGAACAUAUAAUAUGAUAUGACUUAGUACAAAGUUUUUGCUAUAACUUUAAAUCUAUAUUUUUCUGUAAUUAAUUAGAAUAAUUCAUAUAUAUUGUUUCUAUGGUCCAAUUAUGGUGAAUUUUUUUGAUGAGCUAAUUAUUGUAUGGUUAAAGUAUAGUAAAAAAUUUGUACCCAUUGGAUCAAGUAUAACUUAGUUAUAGAUUUAUUUAGCUUUAUUCUUGUUAAAUCUAUGCUUUAUUUAUAACUAAGUUAUAUGUGAUCUAAUGAGUAUGGAAUUUUUACUAUAGUUCAAGCAUAGAAUAAUAAGCCCACUAUAAAAAUUUCACCACAAUUGGACCUUAUAAACUACAUAUAUAAAUUAUUCUAACUAAUUACAGAAAAAACAUAGAUUUAAAGCUAUAGCAAAAACUUUGCACUAAAGUAUACUAUAUUAUAUAUUCACUAUGUAGAUCUACUCAUCGAGAGUCCAACAAAAUUGGAUUUUUCAUUUUAUAUGUUUUCUAUGAUUUAUUAUGAUUUUCCAAAUAUUCAGCGGAAAUAAAUAAUAAAGAAAAAGACAAAACCACCCUCCAAAACCACUCAAGGGGUUAUUUGACCGGUUUUAUAGUUCGGGGGAUAAAGUAGACUAGACUGAAUAGUUUAGGAGGUUAUGUAGACUUUUUUCGAAGAGUAAAUGAUGGAGAGUGAGCAAGUAGGGUGUUCUGACUAAGCUACUAAGACAUGCUAUGCGGGUAGGAGGAAUAUUGUGGCCAUAUUUUUCAUUAUGGUGGUGACCUUACAGUUAUCAAUCAUCCAAGUAGAGGUAGAAGAAAAGAGAGUGAUGCAAGCAUAUUUAACUCUACAAACCUGGUGGGCUUCUCAAAUAGAACCAAUGGCCACGUCUCCCAAAAUCUUUACGUUCGUUGGAUCUGGACUAUCCACGGCUCCAGUUGCCCCCGCCUGAUUUUCAUCCGACCAGAUUCUGAUUUAACUGUUUAACUUCACAGUGAUUCCUUCUAGCUUCACGGUGAUUCCUUCUGUAAUGAACGUUUACGCGUGGCUUCUCCCUUCCUCGUGUCUUCUUGUUUUCCAAUCCACUCCAUCGGCCUUGCCCACUCCGCUCCGCUCAGUCCUUACUGGUUCUAUACUCUACUCACAUCCGCCGCAUUCAAUUCCCCACAACCACCCCGUCCUCUCGCACCGGUCGCCUGCCUCAUCUCGUCCUCAUCGACCUCACCGGAGCUCCACCCGCCCUCUCGCACCGGUCGCCUAUCUCAUCUCGUCGUCGUCGACCUCGCCGGUGCUUCACCACGUUUUGCCAUUACCUAGCCUCGGCUCUUCCUCCCUGUGUGCAUCCGUCAGACCAUCGUCGCAGUUGGGGCACCCACCCCUCCCCGAAAUUUUCAGUUGAAACUUAACAGCUGUAGGAAAAUUAUGCAUGCACCCCAAAGGGCUCAUACCUCUUAUUUGCUAAAUAAGUUUAAUAAUCAUAUAUUAUUAGUGUGCUGGAAAUUUUUGAAUAGUAUAUCUAUUACAGGUAUUAACAGUAGCAUUUAUUUUGAGCAGACAUUGAGAAAGCAAGGGUGGAAACUGAGAUUUUAGAAAACUCAGUUUGCUAGUUUCUACUUCAACUGGUAUGUAUUUGUUUGCUACCAUAAGUCAAAACUGAUGUUUCCUUGGUAAAUCAUGUAUUUCUCUAGCUGCACUGACUAUGAGAAUGUAUUUUCGUGUAUAUGUGACUUGCAUUUAUUUCUUUUUCUUAAUGAAAUAGCUGCCAGACUAUUUAAUAGAUGCACUAGUUUUUUUAUAGGAAUUAAUAGCUUUUUGUGUUGUAAUUUAUAAUUCACCAACCGGUAGUGUUAUAUUGGCUUGUCAUUGCAAUAUUAUUUGUUAAGCUUUCUGAAUCUCCAUUUGCUUCAACGUUUCUUUUUUCAUGCAUGGUUUCAGGAAAGGCUUGAGGGCAGUGCAAAAUAAGAAUUGGUGGAUAAACAACAUUGGCAAAGCGAAGGAAGGAACAUCAUUCAAGUUGGCUGCAUUGCUUAUUGCUGCAUGGUGGAUAGACAAUGUUGCCUGUAUGACUUAGUGUUUUUCUAAAAUGUGUGUAAAUGGCAUCUUUGUAUCUUUGUAUCUUUGUAUACAUAAACAAAUUCUUCCAAAUGGUUGUAAUAUCCAUGUGAGUGCGAUAAGAAAUUAUUAUCAUCUUGAUAUUUGCCAUUCAAUAAAUGGGCCACCUUUGAUUUUAGUCUCUUAAGAAAUGAGCCGAUAUCUCUUAAAAUAAAUAAAACAUGUGAGCAAGAUGGUGACAUAAGCAUCCAUGUCAUCAUCCAUGUAAGCAUCCAAGAUGAUGUGGUAUUUCAUCCAUGACAGUUUAGAAUCGUCACAGAUAUUGGGCUUGGACUGGGCUUUGGGCUGUUCUAUGACGGUUUAAGACCGUCAUGUUAGUCUGUGACGGUUUUUGGAAAACCGUCACUGAGGUUAAUCUAUGACGCUCAAUCUAUGACAAUACCUAAAACCGUCACAGAUACUAUAUUGUGACGGAUUUUUGGUGAUCCGUGACGGAAAUAUUUCGUCAUGGAUUAGCAGGAUUCUUGUAGUGUAUGGACACUCGAGCUUCGUCUAAGACGUUUACCACGCUGUGCUGCGCGAGGAUCGACGAAGCCGCCGCACGUUGUGGUGCCCGCGGGACGUUGCGAAGUUCGGGCGUCGUAGUCGCCGGGUGUGUUGUUGUCAGGGACGUGAACGCCGUGAAGGAGGACACGUGGGAUGCGGUCAGGUAAGACCGACGCCGGGACGCGCAUGGCGCGCUGCCUGUCGACGGCCAUGUUCCGCUCCUGUUGUUCAUCGACCGACGAAGAGCUCAGACAGGAUGGCUGGGCGCGCUGCGCGCGGAAUGGCAGUGAGGCGCGACUGAAGGGAACGCAAGACUCCGUCACGUGAAAAAAAAAAGAGCUUCGAAUCGAUCUGGCUCCUUGGAUAUUGGUUGGAGGGUGGAUGGCAGGAGUAAAGUUACGACGUGACUUGCCUAAGCAAAGUCACUGAAUCCACGUGCGUGCCGUCUGACCCUCGCCAAAAAGUCCACGGCCACGCGACCCUACUUGUCACGCAAGGCCAGCGCCAACUGUUCUAGCAGGCUCGCUGACACGCCCGGCCCCACCAUAUCUACCAUAAAUACCACGGACACAACUCGACCAUUCCACUGGACUCCACUCCAAUCCAAAGCCGCCCGACAUCCUAUCCUACUCGGCGCUCGUCUAGGAGGCAAACCAACUUUUCGUCCCCCCGAUCGCGCGAACCUUCUCCACUCCCUCGCCUCCUCCGCCGGCCCCGCCAUGGACACGGCGAUCGGCUCGGUCCCGGCCUCUUCCGACGGCGCGGCGCAGGCGGCGUCGGGUUCCGCCCCACGCGACGCGACGCUGGGGCGGCACCUGGCGCGGCGGCUGGCGGAGGUGGGCGCCCGUGACGUCUUCACCGUCCCCGGGGACUUCAACCUGACGCUCCUGGACGAGCUGGAGGCCGAGGAAGGGGUCCGCCUCGUGGGCUGCUGCAACGAGCUCAACGCGGCGUACGCGGCGGACGGGUACGCCCGCGCGCGCGGCGGCGGGGUGGGCGCCUGCGCCGUCACCUUCACCGUCGGCGGGCUCAGCGCCAUCAACGGCGUCGCGGGCGCCUUCAGCGAGAACCUCCCCGUCGUGUGCAUCGUCGGCGGGCCCAACAGCAACGACUACGGGAGUAACAGGAUCCUGCAUCACACCAUCGGAUUGCCUGAUUUCACGCAGGAGCUCAGGUGCUUCCAGACCGUCACGUGCUAUCAGGUAAAAGGAGUAUAGCUUCGUUUAGUUUCCAAAGGUUAAUUUGGCUGCAGUAGUAUUUUUGUUUUAUUUGUUAAUUUAUGUUUAAUUAUAAAUUAAAUAGGUUUAAAAGAUUUGUCUCGCGAUUUAUAGGUAAUAUGUGUAAUUAGCUUUUGUUUCUAUCUAUAUAUAUUUGAUUGGUGAAAAAAAUUUAAGUGUGAAACUAAAUAAGGCCUAAUUCCUCUCCUAUCUUUUUUUCUUUUUUUUAUGACGUGGCGACUCCGAGUAAUAAUGGUGGGGCCCAGUUCUAGACGUCUGCUGACUCCUGGUACUGCAUUACGUGUCCACUGUUGGACCCUACAACCUAGCAUGUCUCACGUGUGGUUAUUAGGUGAAAAUGAAAUGUUUUUUUUUCAAAAAGGAUGGCAAUACAUUUGUCAUGAUUUUUAUUAGACAAAGAGAAAAAUGAAAAAAUAGAUACAAGCGCUACUAAGAAGGAAAAAAAAGCGCUUUAGUCAGGGUCGAAAGAAGAACUGAAAUUAGAAUUAAACCACCGACAACUCCCAAACGAAAAAGAAAACAGCUGAGGCCUUGUUUAGUUCACUCCAAAAAUUUAAAACUUUUUUAACAUUUUCUGUUACAUCGAAUCUUACGGUAUAUGCAUGGAGUAUUAAAUAUAAAUAAAAACAAAAACUAAUUACACAAUUUAGCUAUAAAUCGCGAGACAAAUCUUUUAAACAUAGUUACUCCAUAUUUGGAUAAUGUUUGUCAAAUAAAAACGAAAGUGAUACAGUAUCAAAAUUCUAAAAAAAUUUGGAUCUAAAUAAGGCCUGAAAUACACACAACUAGACACCGAAAGAGACAACCAAGAGACUAAAAAUCAUGACAAAUUUAGGUGUCCACUGUUGGACCCUACAACCUAUGUCUCACGUGUGGUUUUAGGAGUGGAGAUAGGGGGAAGGGAAACAUAGGCCUUGUUUAGAUCCGAAAACAUUUCGGAUUUUGACACUGUAGCACUUUCGUUUUUAUUUGACAAACAUUAUCCAAUUAUAAAGUAACUAGGUUUAAAAGAUUCAUCUUAUGAUUUACAGACAAACUGUGUAAAUAGUUUUUGUUUUCAUCUAUAUUUAAUGCUCCAUGCAUAUGCCGCAAGAUUUGAUGUGACGGGGAAUUUUGAAAUUUUUUUGGUUUUCAGAGUGAACUAAACAAGGCCAUAAUGGGCUAGAAAAAAGAGGUAUGUAUGGUAUUGGGAUAUAUAGGACUGUUUAUAUCCAUACAUGUCCGUACCCUCUCUCCAUAUCCCUUUACUUUAUGUCUUUAUUAUCCAAACGCCAGCCAACCUAGAUGAAAAUGAAAUGAUGUUUUUUCCUUUUCUGAAAAGACAGCUAGAAAAUUGCUGUGAUUUUUACCAGACGAGAGAAAAAAAUGGAUACAAGCGCUAAUCAGAAGAGAAAAAGAAAAAAAAGAGUGUUUCGGCCGAGGUGGAAAGAAGAACCGAAACUAGAUAGCAAACCAGCAUAGUUUGAUAAAACUCAGUAAGUUGACAAAUAUGGAGUAUGGACGCGCGGUGUUGCUGGAUGGCAAGUUGCCAAAAGAUGACAACCUAUUUACUAAACUGUUGGAGUGACUAUUUUCUAGUUUUGUCAAAUAAACAAGAAAUGACAAGUUCAUUUAGUAAACUGUUGAAGAUGCUCAAACUCCGAGAUGAAAAAGAGAAACGGCUGAAGCGCACACGACUAGACACGGAAAGAGACAACCAAGCGAGGUUUCCUGCACCUUGUUGAUGCUGCGAAGAAACUGGUCGCCCUUCUGGUGGUAGUAGCAGAAAUGCAGAAUGUUAGUCAAACAGUAAGAAACUGCGGUAACCAUAUGAUGCAUAUCUUUUCUUCAAAACCCUGGUUGGUUCACCACGGCAUAUCUGUUUUUAGAGAAUACCAUUUGCAGCCAUGUAUAAUUGCUGCAAGCACAACUUUUACCGUGCAUGGUAUUUACUGAUGAAACAUCAAUUCUGGACUUCUAGCUCUUGAUUGAUGCAUCAUGCAUAAGAGACUUGUGAAAUGACAGUUCAAAUGCUUACACUGGAGUGCAGUGCCACAACAGAUAACAUCCAUUUAUAGUAACCAAAAGUCCAAAACCCUUUCUACCUUUGGUAAAUAUUCCAUGUUUCCUGAAAGCCUAAUAAGACAUGCUCUUGUGGUAAGAGAGAAAGAGGAAGAUAAUAUUCAUUCUGAACUUUUUGCUAAAGGUAUUAAUAUUCAUUCUGAACUCCAUCAUUUUCGCAGUUGAUAGUUACUUUAAAAAUGUAGCCUCACAGUUCCCCGGCUAAGCCGGUUUUUAUUUGUACUUAAACCAUAUCUUCUUAAUGCAAUGAUAGGCAAUUCUCUUGCGUAUUCGAGAAAAAAAAGGUAUUAUGUUCUUUGUUCAUAUAUCACAGGCUGUGGUGAACAACUUGGAAGAUGCACAUGAACAGAUCGACACUGCCAUCUCCACGGCAAUAAAGGAGAGCAAGCCUGUUUACAUUAGCAUCAGCUGCAACCUCCCUUCGAUCCCACAUCCCACCUUCAGCCGUCAUCCUGUCCCUUUCUUCCUCUCCCCAAGGUAUAUUUCCCCAAGGCAAAAGUGAUGAACAGUUUGGCAUUGCUCAUGCUGAUAAAUCUGUUCGUUUUGUAGGCUAUCGAACCAUAUGAACUUGGAGGCAGCAGUGGAAGCCGCUGUGGCUUUCUUGAACAAAGCUGUCAAACCGGUGCUUGUAGGUGGACCAAAGAUGAGGGUGUCCAAAGCAUGCAAAGCCUUUGUAGAGCUGGCAGAUGCCUGCGGCUAUCCUGUCGCGGCGAUGCCUUCCGCAAAGGGGCUAGUGCCAGAACACCACUCUAGGUUCAUUGGCACGUACUGGGGCGCUGUGAGCACUCCAUUCUGUGCCGAAAUUGUCGAGUCUGCUGAUGCCUACCUAUUUGCUGGUCCCAUAUUCAACGACUACAGCUCGGUUGGAUACUCACUGCUCAUCAAGAAGGAGAAGGCCAUCAUUGUCCAACCAGAGAGGGUGGUGAUCGGGCAUGGCCCUGCGUUUGGGUGUGUUCUGAUGAAGGAUUUCCUGCAUGCCCUCGCAACUCGUCUGAAGAAGAACACUGCUGCGUAUGAGAACUUCCGUCGCAUUUAUGUACCUCCUGGCGAGCCACUCGCGUCUGAACCUGGAGAGCCAUUGAGAGUGAACAUACUCUUCAAGCAUAUUCAGGCAAUGCUGUCUGGCAACACGGCUGUCAUUGCAGAGACUGGGGACUCGUGGUUUAACUGCCAGAAGCUGAAGCUACCAGAAGGCUGUGGGUAAGCUCCUCUUCGAAUCACGAUUUGGCUGUGGAAUUUCAUUGUGAUACAAAAUUCAUCUGUCAUUUUCUUCUGUACUGUUGGUUGCUGGGUGGUGAGUGGUACCGCUGAUUUAGGCCAAGUAAGAUAAAAAUCUGAUGGAAUGUUGUUCUGAUUCUUUUACACCACUAGAUAUUCAAUGUUGUCAGCCUCUUUACCAUAAAGAAACAUUUCAUAUUAUAUAGUAGUGACAUCAAACUUUGGUUCAGCAUGUUGAGAUACUUUCAGUCAUGAGUUAACCAGGAGUUCUUUGCUUUCACCAGGUACGAAUUCCAGAUGCAGUAUGGAUCAAUUGGCUGGGCAGUGGGUGCAACUCUAGGAUACGCACAGGCUGCUAAGGAUAAACGUGUCAUUGCCUGCAUUGGAGAUGGCAGCUUCCAGGUAUGAUACCAAUUACCAAACGAUGGAAGUUCUUACAUUUUCAUAUCAAUUCAGUUCCUUGAAAAUACAGUAUGUGGCAAGAGUUUAAUUUGACUGUAAUUCAGGUAACGGCACAAGAAGUGUCAACGAUGCUCCGAUGGGAGCAGAACACCAUCAUAUUUCUGAUAAACAAUGGAGGAUACACAAUCGAGGUGGAGAUUCACGAUGGUCCUUAUAACGUUAUCAAGAACUGGAACUACACUGGUUUGGUGGAGGCAUUCCACAAUGGAGAGGGCAAGUGCUACACAGCAAAGGUUCGUAACUGUAUGUUGUAGUACUGCAAUUCUGCGCUCACGAAUGCCAGCUGCAACUGACAUUUUUUUCGCAUUCUCUGCUCGCAGGUUCGAACUGAGGAGGAGCUGAAGGAGGCACUGAAGGCAGCUCUGGGACCCAAGAAGGACUGCUUAUGCUUCAUUGAGGUCAUCGUGCAUAAGGAUGACACCAGCAGAGAGCUUCUCGAGUGGGGAUCUAGGGUUUCUGCGGCAAAUAGCCGUCCACCGAAUCCUCAGUGAGUGCAUCAGGUCUCCUGAAUUGCGCUGUAAAUCAAUCCUCUUUCUGGUGAUGUCCAUAUCAAGAAGACUCGGGGAUUUCUGAAUAAUUUUUUUUGUUUUGUUUUUCACUGUCAUUUCUGAAUAAUUUCUCCCUGUAAUUCACUGAUGUUGCAAGCCCUUGUUGCUACUUCACAUAGAUGAUUUCAGAAACUGAUCUUGUAUAGCUGUAUUACUGCCAAUAAAUCUGAAAUCAUUUUUUUUUGUUCUUCGUUCUGGCACUUUGUAAAUUCUCUUCUGUUAGAGCUCCUGCCCUGGUGUCAUGCAUAAGUUUCAGCCUAUUCUUUCAAGUCUGGCCAUAAGAGCUCUCUCUUACCAAGAUCUAAAAUCUUUAGCAAUUGUAAAUGGAAGAAAGUAGUUUCAGUAAACGAAGGAAAUACAUUUCUUGAGUUAGUCCAACACGUGCACUUCGUAUAUCAAGCACUCUCUGUUAUCAACUAAGUGCAUUGCUCGUUGUAAAGGCCAAAAGGGGAACAACUAUUAGGUUAGGCAGAUCAACUUUGAAACCGAAGACAUGAAAUUGCAGUAGCUGAAGGAGCAGUAACCCUUUCCGAUUGGUCCCGGCAUAUAAACAAUUUUCUCAAAAGAAGUGAAAGUAACAUCGUUAAGAAAGCAAAUUCUGGUCUUUGAAAGAAAGCAAUUUUUCUCAACCCGGCAACUGCCCAUAGUUUUAUUAAAAAAAAGAGUCACAGUUAUGAGCAGUUUUUAAAAAAGACAUUACGAACAAGUUUAUGCAUGAUAAAGCCCAUUUGCACAGAAGAAUAUUAGUUGGUUAUGUGCUAGUUCCAUGUGACACCUGAGCCAGAAAUUGUAGCAAGUUUUUCUUCUUCUCUGUAACCUUGUUAUUUUUUCAUUAUGCUUCAUAUCAUUUUCCUGAAGAACAAAUUUAUCUUUCAUAUAUUUUUUUAUUAGGAAGCAGGAGGACGGGAUACCCCUACUGGAAUUGCAUUAGGGUAGAAAAAGUCUGAAAGCUCUGGAAACCCAAAUGCUCAGACAACAGAUAGAGCAAAAGGCAGAGUAUAUUCUAGACAGGGAGCCAAUCAAAACUCAAAAGGUGUCACGGUCUUUUCACCCAAACCCUGAAAUGUCAAGCCAAUCAUCUGACUUAGGAGGCAGCAUUUCUGCAUGCAUCCAUAUGAUACAGUCACCCACACUGGUCUACAGCACACCCCAUGCAAACCCUGGUCCCCGGGCCAUGCCCAUGUGAUUUUACAGACUAUUUCAGCACUAGCAACAGUUCACGGUCCAAAUCAAACCACACACAGUAAAACAAACCAUUUUGGGCACACACAAAACACAAUUAGCACUCACUCUUGACCUGAAGAUUCUCCUACCAUCUCUUACAGGCUCUGACAGUUCAGGAACUGGAUAUACAUAUACUAAUAUAGCAUUCUCUAUAUGGACAUGAUGGAGUAAUGUGAUUCAAGAAUCCUCUGCCGCUUGCUCUGAAAGGGACUACUACUCCCGUAUGCCGUUUCUGGGGAAGCAACCCUGGCUAGCGCCUGCCUGACAGCCUCCUUCAGAGACCUGAGGCUUGCACUUGCUGCACCUACACCUGCACCACCCCAGCCCUCCUCUUUGCACAGUACGAACACAUGCUGCACCCUUCCUCCUAACGAGGUCAUGUCGGCCCUCACCGUCCUCAGCCUCAGGCCAUGGAACGCCUGGGCCAGCCCGGCGACGAGGUCCGGCCGGUCGUCGCAGCUGAUCGAGGCCUUUAUGUAGAUGACCUUGUCGGCGCCGGCGCCGGUGUGGAGCUCGAUGGAGACCUCGUCGGUCUCCGGGGGCAGGGGCACGCUCUGGGUGGUGGCCUCGCUUGCGUUCCUCUUCAGGAGCUUCACUUGCUCUACCACUCUGGCAAGCAAGGUGGCCUUGUCCAUCUGCAGCAGUGCAGGGAGAGUGUAAAAUUGAAACCUUUGCUUAGACGUCAUAAGCAUUGUGCUUUGUUUGUCUUGUUAUAGAGAACUCCAAAGUCCAAAGUGGAAAGCAUGAUGAAAUGUGAACAAAUGUGAGUGCAAAGGUUCCAUUCAUAUGGCUUUCUUGCAAACCUCAAACUUAUCCAUAAAUUAUUCCCAAAGGACAGACGUUUGACAGGGAGAUAUCUAACACUGAGAUUAUGGACCAUGGAAGGAUCACACAAGAAGAACUAACGUGGUAAAAUCUCUGAAAUUGCUCAGGUAGUGUUUCAGAAAUCUUGCUAAAUGAUUCACACAAGUGAACCAUUGAGGUGGAAGGAUCAAACCACAAACCUGCCUAGUAUCAGGAAUCAUCCUCCUGAGCGUAGCCAGAUGAGCAUUGAUCCUCUCCCGGCGCCGCCGCUCGGCCUCGCUGUGGAUCUUCAGCGCCCUCGCCUCCGUUGUGCUCCUCCCCGACCCCGACGACGACGACAUCUCCGGCGGCGCUACCCUCACGGCCCGUGGAGCCGAGCUUGCCUGCCGAGGAAGAAGCACUGGCUGCAGCUCCUUCCCUUGCAGAGGCUGGCAUGCAGCCAUUCAACCAGACAUCACCAAAGUGCCUCACCUUUAGGUCCUUUUCACUGGAACAAAGAGGCCCAACAAAGAGGUUGACUGAAUAUUUGAACAGCAUCAACAGAGACUGCAAAUUGGAAGAACUGAUGCAGCAAGCAUAAGGAUCAGAAUAACAGAAGAUGAGAUGCAGCAAACCAGCAAGCAGAGAAAGAGAGUACUGAGUACCUGAUGUUGCUUGCAAUAAGUGGUGCAACAACGUCUUGUCAUCUCAUUCUCUGGAAUGAGUGAUGAUAUGCAUAUGCUUGUGUGCUAGAUGUGAUCAUCUUCUUAUGAUAUGAGUGAUGAUAGGUAGGGGCGUACUGCGGUGUGCAGUGUACUCUGCUUUUUUACUGGCCAACCACUCUACAUAUAUAUAUCUUGGUAUUCCUCUCUCCACAUGUGUUCCCACUAGGAAGAUGGAUGAGGUAUGCAUGCAUGAGUGUGCCAUGAGUAGGAUAUGAAGAAAAAGCCUGCCAAAUGGAGGGUUUUCAAGAGCCGCCUAACAAGUUUCAGUUCUGGUGACAAGGAUUCACAUGACUUCAGACUGUAGUCAUAUCAUCAUAUGUUUGGUAACUCAGGCCUUGUUUACUUCCCAAAAUUUUUCAAGAUUCUCUGUCACAUCAAAUCUUGCGGUACAUGCAUGAAGUACUAAAUAUAGAUAAAAAGAUACCUAAUUGCAUGGUUUAUCUAUAAUUUGCGAGACGAAUCUUUUAAGCCUAGUUAGUCUAUAAUUAAAUAAUAAUUGUCAAAUAAAGCCAAAAAUGUUACAGUAGCGAAAUCUAAAAUUUUUCGCGAACUAAACAAGGCCUCAAGUAAAGAUUCUUUUCACUGCUGUUAGGUGGACUGAAAAUCUUGAAAUAUGCUUGGAAGUUAGUUGGAAGGAAGCAGAUGAGGAGUCUAUUAGUAGUAACUUUUUUUUUCAUCUAUCUAAUCUAACCUGCCAAAAACUUCUGAAAGUAUGGAAGACAGACAGAUCACGAGAUUCCUCUUCUGGAAUUGGGCAGCCAUGGAAGAAAGUCUUCGCAAUCCAUUGACUAGUGUUCCAUGCUCUGCCCCACGAGUGAGAGAGACGGACAGGGACACGAUUAAAUGACUGCUCAUGAACCGUACUAUGCUCCAAUAGUUUCAGUCUUGGCAUUUAGCUGCAAGCACGCUCCUUAACAAGCAACAUCAGGAGAGGUCUCUGCAUCCUUUCAGACUGACUGGCUGACUUGCCUAGCUUGCUUUCUGCAUAUGAUUAGUUUCGAGUUUCACCAAUCAACGCUCUCAUCAGAAAUUCAGAAUGCAUUGAUUCUGUGUCCUAUGCGGUCUGAGGAUCAGACAGUCGAAACCAAACACUGUUUACUCGAACUUAUCCCCUGAUAAACACUGAUCUCUGUCGUCUUGUGCUGCCUAAUUGUUUGUUUGCCCCCUGAAAACAUGUGACACCAGAAUUCAGAACCAGCACGGCUUCGUGGCUACUUGCAGAGCAUUUUAUUCAGACUGUUUAGAGAUCUGGCGCGGAGCAAUUGAAAUGGUUUAGCCUUUGACCAGUGAACAAGGAUAUGGACGAGGCCAAAACUGUGCAGGAUUUAAUAGAGAGAGACGGUUCCCUCGGACUCCUUCCUUGGUAUACUACGCCAUGCUCUGCAUGUGGACCUGCUGCAGGUCGACAAGCUGCCCAAGAAACCGUGGAGACGACUGUUUCAGAGACGGAAAUGACAAACGCCAUAGUAUGAUUUGUUUGUCCUUGUGUCUCGGCCUGCGUUUAGGCAUCUGAAAUUCAUGUGUCCUUUACCGUGGCAACCAUUGUCAUUAACUGAUUCGUGAAGAAAUCUAAUUUAGUAUUCGCCCAGGCCAUGCUAAACUUUAUCCGACUGUUGUGACUUCUAAGAUGUUUUGAUCUAGAGAAAAUUCCUUGUAUGACAUUAAAAAAUUACACAUACCAUUUAAAAUUAUAUCUUACCUUUGUUAUCAUCAGCUUUAAUUUUUCUUCCCUUAUUAUGUGCCACUAUUAUCAAUUUGCAUCCACAUAAUUCUUAAGCGGAAGUGGAAAAGACAAUUUUACCCUUAUAACAUAUGGAAGUAUUUUUUUUCUGGCCUAUCAAUCCUUCCAUGACAUUGAACUCAGGAAUAGAUAUGCAUAUAUUGGUGUCCCAGAUUUUUGUUUGCACAACAUUCAAUAUUUGAAAAAAAAUGUAAAAUUGAUGGCGCUGGCAUACAACAAAGGAAAGUUAUAAUUUUCAAUGGUAUACUCCCUUCUCCCACAAAAGAAUGCAAUACUCGUUUUUCGAGAAGUCAAACAAUUUGAAUUUUGACUAAAUUUAUAUAAAAAUAUACUAACAUUCAUUAAACAAAAUAAAUAUCAUUAGAUUAGUUAUAGAAUAUAUUUUUAUAAUAAAUUUAUUUGAAAACAUAAAUGUUAAUACUAUUUACUAUAAAUUUUGUCAAACUUGAGUUAGUUGGACUGACACACAUCCCAUAGUUUCAUUUUUUUAUGGGCGGAGGAAGUAUGUAAGCAGCGGAAAAGUAUAAAAGAAUAGCAAGGAGGGGAAGUUAUAAUUUUCAAUAGCAUAGAAAUGUUGGGGCUUCGCGGAUGGUACCGAAUGAAUUUGCUCUUACAUUAUCUUAAUAUCGUAAAUCUAUUUCAUUUUAUACAUAUAUUAUAAUAGAAAAUCAUUGUUAGUAACACACCUUGAGAACCUAUAUAAAACUUUAAAAAAACAUCAAGUAUUUUUAUGGAGGGAGUAUAUAUAUACAACCAUUACAUGUAAAGUUGCGCAUUAUGCUACUCUUAAUGCAAUACGCGUCUAGACAUAGUCACGAAAAAAAAUGCUACUUUGGCUCUAUUUGGAGAGGAAGGUGUUCUUUUUAAAUUAGUUACAGUUUUGUGGAAAAGAAAUAUCAGAUACUGUAAUUAUGAGGUUCAGACAAAUCUUUUGAAGCGUAUGAGUUUAGAAGAAAAAAAUGUUCUUUUGCGUCUUUCAGAGCGUUCUUGCAACUCUUGUCUGUGCUACAACUACAAACUUCCUCUGAUCUGACUUGUACCCCCACAAAUACCUGCAUUCAAAAGGCCCGGAGUAUUUGUCUGCAAUGGUUAUCGGUUUUAAGCAACAUGGUGCAAACUGAAGCUGACAGUGACAGAGAUAUGUGAUAUUAAUAACUCAGAUUUGCUUGUGCACAGCACAGUGCAUAUCUAUCCAUGUCUACUUGUUUGGCUUGUUGUAGCCUUGGCUUUGUUGCUUAAGUUCAAACAAGGGGGCCAUGUAAUCUCCGAUCCAUGAUCUUUCCGGAUCCUUAGAAUCCUUUUGACGUUCUCUGUCUAUGGCGAUGAAAACUGCUGCUGCCUUCUGGUUUGGACGUGUUAGCUAGAUUCACUUUUCUUUUUUGACAUUCUUAACAGAGGAUUCCAAUGGUUCAACUUUUUAGUAAUCACAUGGAUAAAAAACACUGGGUGUACCUUUUACUGUUGUUUGAGACUAAGUACUACCAUCAUCAUUACGGCAUCUCUAAGAGAUUAGCUAAAUCAUUUUCUAAAAUUAAAUUUGAUUAUUGUUGAAGAAAAACGUUUCUAACAGACUGUAAAACGACUCUCCAAAUUUAGUAGCUCUCCAUCUUACCUUAUUACCUCACCAGCUAUUCUUUAGUCUGUUGGAGUACUCUAAUAUUUUUUAUCAAAUCUAUUCUAGAGAGUUGCUAAAUCUGAAAUUUAAUUAAUUUUUUUUACUAAUCUUUUGAAGAUGCUCUCACGGGAUGCAUAUACAAGUCUCUUGCAUAGCUAUUUCUUGCAAGAAGCCGAUCGGGUGGCCAGUCUUUUUUUUGUGAUCAUUAAGAGGAAUAAAACUGAAGUUUACAACCCAUCGGACUAAGUAAGGCGGCGAGAGUCCACCAGAACCCGGAAACUGACUAUCGGGUGGCCAAUCAAUUGGGCCGGGCCGGAGUUACGUGACGAGAUACUUCCAGGCUAGCCCAUUAGGCAUUAUUAGGCCCAUGCAUGUCGUCCAGUGCUGUACUACACUAGCGGGAGGAGGGAGCUCGCUCGGCCGACAGUGCCCUGGCCUCCACGUCGGCUGCAUGCAUGCAGUGCGUGCAGACGGUAACAUCCAUCCAUCGAAUUACCGCGACACGCAGGCAGCUACGUGCUCGCUCGCCGCGCGGUAAGCCCCUCAUCCUCCUCACACGCGUCCGGCCCGGCCGGCCGGGGGCAGGCGCGGUCGCCAGCAUGCAUGUCCGCCACGCUAACCCCCUUCUCGCACUCGCGGUAAAAGAUGACGAGGCUCGCUAGCUGUGUAUAUAUAAGUACGGCGCCGCUCGAGUCCACUCUGAACGGCAAGAGUGACCUGAGCUCGAUCGACGGCGGGUAGUAAAGUAGAUUAGCUUGAAGAGUUUGCUGUGUGCGCGCCAGCGAGCGAGCGUCCGGCCGGCCGGCUAGCCGCCGCCGGUGGUGGUGGGGAUAGCAAUGGCGGCGUCGCAGCAGGCGGAGAAGGCGGCGGAGCUGCAGGACCCCGAGAUCCGGGCGGCGCUGGACCGCCGCGUCCGCGAGGAAGGCGAGACCGUCAUCAAGAGCGGCACCGGCGGGACCAACCUCGAGGCUCAGGAGCGCCUCGCCGAAGGUAUUUUAUAUAUAUAUAUAUAUAUAUAUAUAUUCCCACGUGCACGCACGCAUGCAUGUUGGAUUCAUGCAUGCGUUCUUCCAUAUGUUUGACCGCGCGGUUCCAUGCAGGACGCAAGAAGGGAGGGCGCAGCCGCACGACGGAGUCCGGCAAGGAGCGCGCCGAGAAGGAGGGCGGCGUGGUCAUCGAGCCCGACGAGAAGCAGCUUCAGGAGGCCAUGAAGGACAUCGGCCGCAACUGAUCCGUCAUCAUGCAUGCAUAUAUAUCGUCGCUCCAGUCGUCCGUAUACGUCGUUGAUCAUCACCGUACGUAGUAGUAUACCACCAGGCCGCCGGUACAAGUUGUUGACCACGCCGUGGGCCUAGUAGUGGAGUAUAUAUAUAGUAUGUAAUAAUACACGUACGUCCGUACCUCGUCCGUGUAUGUGACCUUAGUUAUUAUUAGGUCGAUGUAGUUGUUGCUACAAGCAUAUAUACAUGCUGUAUGCUGUGCUACAAGCAUGCUCAAGCUUGUGUGCAACAGUACUACGAGUGCAGGCUACAAAGUUUUGGUCUUUGCAUUGUAGCCCCUUAGCCGUACGUAUGUGUGUGUAUAUUGUAAUUGCCACAAGGAAGCAUCCGCGUCGUGCUGCAAAAUUUUGGUGCCUGCGCAUGCAUGUCCAUGCAUGCCAGCAAGGUUUGCAGCACAGCUUUGCUUCAGCCCAAUAUAUAAAAUAAAACAACUUCGUCCUAUCUCUGCCAUUUUGGUUGUUGUCACUGUACUUAUAUAUCACAUUAACCAUGAGAAGUUGAGAGCCACAUACGGACACAUCAGUAUACAAUAGCCACAGAACUCGCGGAUCGAUGAUAUGCAACGCAAGAAACAUCAGUUGGCAAUUGGCAUGCACGCCCACACGGACUAUGAUGCGCAUCCAUCCAUCCAUGCAUCGAUCAGCCGCGGCACUUGAAGAUCUUGCUGCAGCCGCGGGUGUAUCCGUUGACAGGCUUCAUCGGGCGUUUGGCCUCGGGGCUCUGAUUCUUGUCGUCGCAGUUGCCCAGCGCCUUGCAGCUGAGCACCUUGUCAUACGACAAGUACUGCCCCUGAUCGGCGCCGGCGACCUCCUGCGGCACCGUCGACAGCAGCAGCAGGCACAGCACCGCCGCCGCCGCCAUGGCCAGCCUCGCCGUGUUGUUCGCCGCCGCCAUGCUGGGGGGCUAGCCUCGCUCCUCUCCUCUCCUCUCCUCUCCUCUUGCGGUGGAAAGAAAAUAUAUAUGAGGAGCUAGCUAGCUAGCUAGCUGGGGGGAGAGGUGCUUUUAUUUCUUGUAAUUAGUGUAAUGAUCGACCUGUGCAGUGCAGGUUUUGUAGAGGCUGCUUGUCUUAAGAUAUCUGUGGAUGAGAACAGAUGUAGGGCCUGGCGGCCUGCAUGUGCUAUGUUUAGAGAAACAACUCACGGGUCCUAUUCUGGGAAGCAGCAUCUAGGGAGUUUUCCUUGUUUAAGAAUGGGGAAAGAAGCUCGUGAUUCUUCUGUCGUCUGGGCCGGGUUUUCCCUUUCUGAGAUAGAUUAGCUAAUAAUGAUGAUAUCAUUCUCUUGUCCAACAGUACAAGUCAAAUAAAUGAUGCAUGCUACGGAAUCUCCGAAAGAAAAAAAAGAUGCUACAACAGUGUUCAGAGUAAAUAAAUUGAUAUGUGGGCUGGUUUAGUUUCCAACAAAUUUUGUAAAAAUUUUUACAUUCCUCGUUGCGUUGCGGUACAUAAUAUAGAUAUUAAUUGUAUAAUCUACUUGUAAUUUGUGAGAUGAAUUUUUUGAACCUAGUUAAUUUAUAAUUAGACAAUUAUAUUUGUCUAAUGAAAAUGCUACCGUCUCCAUUUUCUAAAAGAUUUUAGAACUAAACAAAGCAGUAAUUUCUAUUCACCCAAUUAAUAUAAAUCCUAUACAUCUAGCUUGUCUUACCUAAUGGAUUUUUGUUUAAAAAAUUUGACAAAUCUAACGCAUAAAAAUUUAUAGCUAAUUUCAAAUCCUAACACGUGUGGAUUCAAGUUAAUACAGCUGACACAACCAUUUACGUACACAGUACACCUACCAAAAUUGGUCUUCCAACGUCAAGUUUUCUCACCAAAACCUGCAUGUGUAUCCAACCGCCUGUAACCGUCAUCCGAUAUAGAUAGAGCUAAGCUGAUGGACGCCAACAGUGUCGAAGAGAUGAACAACAGUAAUGUUAGCAGGAAGGAGGGCCGGGAUAGGAGACUUGGAGAAGGGAAAUGGAAGAAGGUGGACAGAUUUCAGUAGUUUGGAAUGUUUCGUGUUUGGUUGCAGUUGGUAAACUUUAACUCUUGCCAUUUAACUCUUGCCAUAUUGAAUGUUUGGACAUAUGCAUUGAGUACUAAAACAUAGACUAUUUAUAAAACUAAAAACACAGCUAGAGAGUAAUUUAUGAGACAAAUUUUUUAAACCUAAUUAAUAUAUAAUUAGACACAAACUAUCAAAUAAGACGAAAAUGCUACAUUACGAGUUAAACUUUAACAACCCCAAUCAAACAUCCCUGAUUACAUUUCCGAUGGAACUGACCAAGAGAGGAUCCGACGACCCUAUCGGUAGCCACGGCCACAUAGGUGUACGUGUGUUGUUUCCUUUGCAUCGCAAUUUUCCUUGUUUGACUUGGCCCAUCCCCUCUGCAGUUCUAUAAUCAAGUCAAUGAUCGAGCUAGUCUAGCUUUACACAUAGUAUAGGAAAUCAUCAACAAUGUGCGAUCCAGCCUAGUCGCCUCGUCAUCUCCCUGUGCGACUGCUGAACUAGCAACCGCCCACCAAUGACGGAUGGUAGGUGUCGCUCUACGUCUCCACCGCGUCGCAUUGCCCUCGCUCUCGUGUGACUCUGCUCCUAGUAGCCACCCCCCUUAGGAUGAUAGGUGUCAUCUAGUUUGUGGAUAGUAAGGUGUCAUAACUUAACUUAUGUUACUGUUGUUAUUUUUAUGUUCAUUUUUAUGUUACAUCGUGUUCUCACGUUAGGGUAGAGAUAUACUCGCUAUAGUGCCAUUGUAGCCUAGGAUGCAAAGUGGAUCUUGUUUUUAUUCUCUCGCAUUUUUCUCUCCCCCCCACCCCUCUUCUUCUUCUUAAAAAAUGUUGGGGGGCUCUAUUUAGUGGGAGGUAGUAGCAAGGUUAGAUUCACCCUGACUAGCUAUUAAUUGUUGUGAGCAUGUAAUCAAAAUUAUUUAUGUGACAUCCUAUUUAAAGGAGAAUAAAAUUUUCAUUAAUUUUCACCGAGUAAUGAUGACCAACAUUAAUGGCUUCUUUUAGAUAUAUAAUAUUUAUGCUAUUUUUUUUAUAAAACUAGUCAAACUUGAAAUUACUUAACUCCCGAAAACGAACACGCUAUUAUUUUAGGAUCAAGGGAGCAUGUCAAAGCUUGGAGCCAACAAAUCCGUGUGUACCAACUUCAAAUAGAUAGUCCACAGUACUCCAGUAAAUAAAUUAUAUAAAAAGAAAAGUUCCAAUUGUAAGAUCGAUUCAUCCCCUGUCCAGCGUUCAAGCUAUGAGCACAAAUCAUCUGUAUUUUUUUUAUAACAACCUUUAUUGAUUUAACAACACCUUGCAGAGAAUAUGAGCCUACAACGUACGGCUGCCAAUUUACAUGGAUGAGUGCUUCCUUGACGGAACACUGAUGGAAGUGGACAGUGUGAUAUAAACAAAUCAUAAACAUAUUUAUAUUUCGCACAUUUUAAUAGUAUAGUAUAUAUAUAUACCUCAGCAUACGAAAUGGAGACACACACACACACACGCAAAAUCGACGAUGAGCUAGCCCUGCGGCGCGCACGCCCGGACCGCAUGCAUGCGACGCACAGUGAGGCUGGAUCGAUCGACCACCUGCACACACACACACACAUACGCGUGCAUGCAUGGAUCAGCCGCGGCACCCAGUGAUCUUGUUGCAGCCACGAUUGUAUUUGUUGGCCUGCGCCCCUGGGCGAUCAGAGAUGUCGCCGAGCUUCCUGUCGCAAGUGCCGGGGAUCUCGCACUCGGCCUUGCUAGCAGCCUUGCCGUAGCUGGCCUCGGCGGCGGCGGCGGCGGCCUCCUGCCCGGCCAGCAGCAGGCCAAAUAACAGCACCACGGCCAGCCGCGUGUUGUUCAUCAUCACCUUCUUCUCCACGGAUGCUAUAGCUUGCUGUUGUCUUUCAGCUAUAGCUCUGAUCGAUCUGCACGGGAAUAUAUAGUUAAAUUAAAGUUUGUUUUGUUUGCUUGGGCGAGGUAGAGAGAGGCAGACCAAGUGUUGUUUUAAUAGGAGGGUGGUUGUCUAAGAUAUGAGUGGAUGAGAGUGGAUUUAGCUAGCUAGUAGGGCGCUAGUACUAUGUUUAGAGAAAGAGAACACACUAGCUCGUGCUUAUUUUGGACGCGGGACUUAUUUGUCGCUCUAAAAUGGCGUGAAGCCUGCUGUACGUACGUUUCUUUGCUGCAUGCACUCGUAGGUACGUUGGCCUUGAACCUCCUUGAUCGGUGAACCCACCUGCAUUCUUGCUAGUACACCUAAAGAACCAUAUAGCUGCCACUCUCUGUUUAGACUUUACCUCAUAUAUACUUGUAUCCACUUCUAUCCAUGUGUGUGCUGAGGUGGAUUUGGUAGAUUUUCAUACGACUGAGCACAUAUUUUAUUAAUAAGAGAGCAAGCACGACCACCCAUAUAAAGAUAUACACUAUUAGAAACUCAAAUAUCACUGUGAGUGACGAAUUUUUCUAUGCGUUUUUUUGAUACACACAAAAAAUUAUAAAGUAUCCUCACAGAAAAAUGUGAAAAACCAUAGGGUAAUUGUAUGAUUUUUUGUGCGUGAUAAUACACACAGAAAAAUUACCAUUAUUCUGUCGGUUUAUUUAUAACUCACAAAAAAACUUAUACAUGCACAACAAAAUUGUAAUUAUUCUGUUGGUUUUUAUUUCACACAUAAGAUGAAAAUAUACGCGGAAAUAGUUGAAUAAUUAUAUUUAUUAUUUGAAAAUAAUAGCAACUAGCUAUUCUCUUUGUUUUUUACGUGUCAUAUUAGGGUUGUCCUUAGUUGAUCAUUUGUAUAUUUGAUCAUCAGUAAAAAAAAGAUUCAUGAUAUAAGAUUUAUGUUUUUAGAUUUCUUAUGAAAAAUAUUUUUAUAAUCUAUAAUUUAUAUGUUGUGAAACUAUAAGAAGUUGAAAAAACAAAUGGUUAAAGAUAGUAACAAUGUCACUUAAGACAAAGCUAAUAUGACAUGUAAAAAAGAAUAGAGGAAGUAAUUAUACUAAUGAAUAUACACUAAUACUAAUUUUAUCAUGAUAAUCACUAAUUUUAAAAUAAAAUAUGUCAAUUAGCACCACUGUCAGCCUAAUUGGCACACAGUGGUGCAUCGAUCAACAUAUAAGCACUUAUAAAAAAUGAAUUUUACCAUUAUGAAUUUAUAAUGACUAAGUAAUAUACUGGUAAUUUUUAAUUAAUUUAUUAGUACUAAAGAUAAGAAAAUAUGGACAUGUUUGUCUACUCCUAGUGUCUAGUACUAGAUUUGUGCGUAUAAACUCAUUUAACACUUGUAGAAAAUAUUCUUGUGUGAUGAAUAUUUAUGUCUGAAUUAUAUUAUGAUGAAUCAAACUUCUCUGAAUCGUCAUCUCCAAACCAACCCUGAAUGGCGAGAAGUAGCCGUGUUCUAGAAACUUGACAGAAUACGGAUUGGAACCUCAUGCAACUUGUGUUCGUACAGAGCCGUAUCUGAGCUGUGUUUUUGCUUUCAUCACCCGCUAUUAUCCAUUCUGCCAUGUGCCCAUAUUCAAUUGUGUCAGCUGACUCCUCAAACCUCCCACUGACGUGUGGGGCCGAGCCAGCUUACUCCGUCAAGCCGAGAGCAGAGCGGCGUCGCCCACUCUUCUUUCUCACCUCGCAGUCGCACGGAGUACUCCCUCCAAUCUCCAUCUCCCGCCGGCCUCUCUCGCUUCCUCCUCCGGAACUCGAAAACCCUCGCCUCGUGCAGGACUCCGCUGACGCUUCCUCCGCGCCGCUGGGAUGGCCGAGAAGCGAGGUGGGUCGGCCUUCCUUCCUGUCCCUGCGCUGUGGAACGGCUCGAUUUGGUGCGGAGUCGGGCGAUCCCUCCCCGUGCCGUAUCGGCUGCAUGAUGAUUGGCUUGGCUGAUCUCUUUAGUGCAGUUACGGGCGGCGAUAGGCGGGAGGAGGACCGCGCCAAGGUCGGGCUCCCGGCGUUGGACCUCUCACUCGCGUUCCCGCAGGCCACGCCGGCCUCCAUUUUCCCGCCGUCCGGUGAGUGCUUUAUUCCCUCAUUCAAUUUCGCUGGGAUAAGGAGUGAGGGGAUUGUGAUCUUUGGGCCGUGGAAUCGGGAGUGUUAGGAUUGCAGCGGUGGUUGUCUGUUCAGUUUUGUCCAGCUAUCCCCCCGGGAAUGGUACAAUUGUUUUUUGAGGAAAUGAUUGGCACAGUGAGAUGGGAAAACAUGCCCUCUUCUUUCAGUACCAAUUUCGACGAGACGUUCGUACUAGUAUAAUUGGCUAACUACCCAGUUACCUGGCCAUUUUAUCAUCUGGUACCGUUGUCUAGUUUUGGUAUUGUUUGGUGGUUUUCAUUGCAGCUCCAGCUGCUCCCUUAAUUAUUGCAUAGGCCCCAUUUAGACCAGCAUAUGCAGAUAUGCAGGUUGCUUUCCAAUUAAAUAGCAAUGCUUCUGAACUUGUACUCAACAGUUUGAGGCUUUUAGAGGGUUCUACAGUUAUGCAGAUAAGCAGUUGCAGUCCUAGUGCGACCCUGGAAUCAUGCAGCUUUCUAGAAUUUGUCACUUUAGAGCCGAAUUACAAUUACAGAAGCCUCGAUUUGGCAUGUUGCGAACAGAAAUAAAUAUUUAGUGUUUUGGUAGGCUCUUUCUUUCUUGGAUGGGUUGCUUUCAUAGCUUCAAUGCACAGCCACAAAUGUGCAACCAUGUCCUCCUCUUUCCCGACCUGUUUUGCUGUAAUUCUUAAGUAGCAGCACCCUGACAAUUUCUGGGCAGGUAUUAAACUACUCGACCUUCUAUGUGGCUCAGGGGGUGGGCCUUGUUUUCAAGAUUCCCCGUCACAUCGAAUCUUAUGGCACAUGCAUGGAGCAUUAAAUAUAGAUGAAAACAAAAACUAAUUGCACAGUUUGCCUGUAAAUCACGAGACGAAUCUUUUAAGCCUAGUUACUCCAUGAGUGGACAAUGUUUGUCAAAUAAAAACAAAAGUGCUACAGUAGCAAAAUCUAAAAUUUUUUCACAAAACAAGGCCCUAGAUAUAUAUGAUCCUAAUACCUAAAGUUCAGUUUUCUGUGCUAGUUUCCAUGGUUUUCGAUUACGAAAAUUCAAGUAUACUGUCUUAUCUAUUGGCUUAUAUGUUUGUACACCCUCAAUUGCAGCUUCGGAUUACUAUCAGUUUGAUGAUUUGCUGACCAGUGAAGAGCGCUCCAUCAGGAAGAAGGUCAGGGGUAUUGUGGAGAAAGAAAUUGCGCCCAUUAUGGCAGCGGUAUGUUAAAUUGGAGUAUUAGCUACUAGUCUGUCUGUAUACGUACCUUGUUACCCCAUCUUGGGUUAAACUAUCUGAAAACAGUUUGCUUAUGACAUAAGUCAUUGCCAAAUAUGCUUUCGUUUUUAUAUUACAUUGUCAGAUUGCAUUACAGUCUAUUUAUCCAUAAGUCACUUUUUUUUAUUAUAGUUGGGUUGACUCCUAAUGUCCUUAAAGCAGUUCCUUGUCAACCUUUUCUAUACAAUACCAUAAUCAUUAUUGAUUCGCUACUGCAGUACUGGGAAAAGGCAGAGUUUCCAUUUGAUGCCAUUCCUAAACUUGCAAGCCUUGGUGUUGCUGGUGGUACAAUAAAGGUAUUGAUUUUCUUGACAUUGCCAUGACCACUUUAUUUGUUAAUUACCUUUCUCUGUAUGGGUAAUAUUUAUUUGAAUGUACGGUUAGAGUCAAAUUUAGUUGAGCAAUUAUGUUAUUGGUUCUCUUCAGUACUUUAGUUUCUACUUUUUAGAAGAGUUCGUGCAAAUGGCUUCGACCGAUUAGUUUGCAUGAGCUUACUGUCGUCAAUUGCCAAGGCUUUUCAGAAUAUAUGAUCACUUACUAUAGUCUGUUCUUCUUUAACAUUAAUGCCUUUUUUCGCCUCUUUUGUGGAGUGUUGAAGUGUAUGGAGCUAUGUAUUAUCUACAUUUAUGUUUUAGUGCUCCAGUGUUUCUCAAGUUUAAUACGAGUCUUGGUUACUGCAGGGUUAUGGGUGCCCAGGACUUUCAAUUACAGCCAGUGCUGUUACUAUGGCAGAAAUGGCACGGGUAGAUGCAAGCUGUUCCACAUUUAUACUGGUGCACUCCUCUCUUGCGAUGGUGACAAUAGGUUCAAAAGCUGGAUUUCUUUUUAAUUUAUACUAUCUUGUGUUAAGAAGUUUUAUCAAUUACCAUUAUCAAUUACUCCGAAUGCUGGAGCUGAACUGCCCUAUCUCUUUCUCUCUUUCUCUCUUUAUGUUUUGUCUGAAGAACAGCCCUUUGUGGAUCUGAGGCACAGAAGCAGAAGUACUUGCCAUCCCUUGCUCAACUUACUACCGUUGGCUGUUGGGUAAGUUACAGUAUUCUUAGGCAUAAAAAUGUGUAACUGACAGAAUCUUUUCCUAAAAAGGUCUCUCUUCUGUAGGCAUUGACAGAGCCAAAUUAUGGAAGUGAUGCAAGCUCUUUGAGAACUACAGCGAGCAAGGUUAAGCUUUUGAUGCAUUUGGAUUUUGCAAGAAUCUAUAAAGGAGCACUUUCAAUACAGUCUGUACAAGGCUACAAGCUUAUUAUUUUGUUUCAGUUUAUUCAUUUUGUCUCUUGGCAUACCCUGGUAUAAGAUAUAGAUUUGGGGACAGCUAGGACAUUUUGUUCAUUCUAAUUUAGAUGGUAUUUGUGUUUACUGUUCAUUUCCUGCGCUUCGCAGUAAAAGUAAAGAGCAGGGUUAUAUACAACUACAAGAUUACUUGGAUAGUUGUAUUAAAUAGUUUUUGCGUUGAACCCUAGAACCACUGCUUUUGACAUCAUCCAUUGAUCUGUGUGCAUUUAUAGAUCAGAUAAAACACAUCUUCCUUGAAAAAGCAUUUGAAUCUAAAAAAUGAGAGCAUAAACUUCUCAUACUGGACUAAAUCCAAAAAAAUGUAGAAGGCACACAAUGUAAGCUGUGACCUCUUGGCAUUCAUUAUUUCUGGAUCAUUUUUUUAUUGUCAAGCACAAGCAGUGGUAUGCACCUUGAAGUGUUGGCUUAUCGUGGACAGGCACCUGGUGGGUGGCACAUAGAUGGUCAAAAACGCUGGAUCGGUAACAGUACGUUCGCCGAUGUGCUCGUGGUAUUAGCUAGGAAUGCAGAUACACAACAACUAAAUGGGUAAAUCAUCUUGCCUUGGACCAUCAAUGUACUUUCCUUCUGAAGCAUCCAACUGAUUAUGUAUAUGCCAUAUUUUCUUCUGAUGUGUUGUUUCAUGCAUUAAUUCUAUCUUCUUGUUAAGAAGUUUACAUUGAUGAGUUUUUGCAUUGCCUUGUUUCCUCAUUUGCGUUUGAUUGCUUCUAGGUUCAUUGUGAGGAAAGGAGCUCCUGGUCUGAAAGCUACAAAGAUUGAGAACAAAAUCGGUCUCAGGAUGGUUCAAAACGGUGAUAUAGUAUUUAAUAAGGUGUUUGUCCCUGAGGAAGACCGAUUGCCAGGCAUCACCUCAUUUAAGGAUAUCAGCAAGGUACUGCUGAUGACACUUUUCUGAUUUUGCUUCUGUUAUGCUCAUUUUUCUCUCUCCUGAUUUUAACUUCUGCUAUUAAGCCAAAUCACAAGCUCGGUGAUGUAACCUGCUUACCUACUUUCACUAUGCAAGCAGGUGCUUGCUAUUUCGCGCAUUAUGGUGGCAUGGCAACCAAUCGGCAUAUCGAUGGGGGUCUUCGAUAUGUGCCACCGGUACGCACCACCAUUCAAUUUGAUACUUUGUCACUGGCGAUAAUUUCACCUUGUACCUUUCGUCUACACCAAACAACAGGUAUCUGAAAGAGAGGAAACAGUUUGGCGUCCCUCUAGCAUCCUUCCAGCUGAACCAAGAGAAGCUUGUCCGGAUGCUCGGUAACAUCCAAUCGAUGCUCCUUGUUGGCUGGCGCCUCUGCAAGCUUUACGAGUCGGGGAAAAUGACGCCAGGCCACGCUAGCCUAGGGAAGGUCUGUCCGUCUGUGUGUGUGGACUUCAGCUGGCAGAUAUGCUCGUUUCUUUGCGCCGUCUUGGCUUCGAGAACUCAGUGGCUUAAUGACGCUUUCCUUUAUUCCUGGCUGUGUCUGCGUUUCAGGCUUGGAACUCCAGGAUGGCCCGCGAGGUGGUUUCCCUUGGCCGAGAGCUGCUGGGUGGGAACGGAAUUUUGGCUGAUUUCCUUGUGGCAAAGGUAUGCAGUGACCUAUAUCGAAAGUGCUCAUGGCUAGUUGUCUUUUUUUUGCAGUGGUGGUUUACACAUCAACCAACCAUCACCCUCCUUUUUUUUUUGUUAAUAAUUAUUACUGUCACGAUCUUGUACAGGCAUUCUGUGACCUGGAGCCAAUUUACUCGUACGAAGGCACAUACGACAUCAACAGCCUGGUGACCGGCAGAGAGAUCACCGGGAUCGCGAGCUUCAAGCCCGCCGCCGCGCUAGCCAAAGCCCGGUUGUAAUGUACUGUAUACUGUACAACGUAAACCACCUUUGCAGUUGCAGCAGGGAUAUUUUGAUGAAAGUUACCCUCCCCCAAUCCGCAUGUUGCAAAGUAAAGCACUGGAAGCGAAUAUAAAUCAGGGAUGAGGUCGCCGUCGUCACUGUUGCGGUGGCGGUAGAACAAACCGAGGACGUUCCCUGAACGUGCCUGGAAACCGCCGGUCAGUGUUGGCUGCUUCAAGAUGUACUACUAUUGUACCGAGUGAGUCUGAGUCUGGAUGGGAACAAAUUCCUGUAUAUGUAAAUUUUACUCUUCUGGUGGAGGCGGCAAAAGAGCACAGAGAUAUUUUGUUUCAGCACGACUGAAGCUAAUCUUGCUGUAUUCGCCGUUUUUGCUACAGAUGGAAGGAGAGAGGAGAGGAGGGGGAACACCAGGCAAAAUUGGUGUGUUUAUUGUUGUUGUGUUGGGUACCUUGUGAGCCUCAAUCAAUGAACAAAAACAGGUGCGUUUUACGCGUAGUAAGACGACUCCUCUAGAAGCUAUCAUAUCUCGGCUAAUCAGGCUAGUUGUUUGGGUUUAGCGUGGCUAUCAUAUCUCGGCUAAUCAGGCUAGUUGUUUGGGUUUAGCGUAGGGCGAGAGUGACCUGACACUCACAGCACAGCUGCAACAGUACCAUACCACACCAUCCAUCCCAUAUUCGCAUCUAUGGCUAUUUUGAGUGCAAGUAGGCUGGUAGCUUUAUGCAGCGCCAGGCAGCAGGCGUGCUGCAGCAGACCUGCAGAGCCGGCCCGAUCGAGGGCGAUGCCGAUGACCUGCAGAGUCUUUUACGUUUGCUGGCGCAUCGUGUGAUGAUGCGUGGGAGGGAGUGGUAGCUGCGAAAGCGAGUUGCGUUUGCGUGACGGCCGACCUGAGCUGAGACCUCCAAUUAUCGGUCCAUCCAUCCAUCCAUCCAUCCAAUUCUAUCCACGAGCUCUUCUCUCUCUGGUGGCUGGUGACGGCUGGUGAAGGCUUUCGGGUCCGUCCCCGCGGGGCCGAGUCGGCGACGACGGCUCCCACCGAACCUCCCCGACGCGGUCGCGCAGGCGCACCCAAGCCAUACACGUGACGGGGACGGCCCGCCCCUCGGAUUCCGGGGGUGUGCCGGGUGGGGAACGGACGGACGGACGGAUGGAACGGAACGGGGGGAGACUGCGCGGAUUUUUCACGUGGCGAAAAGGGCAGCAGAACCCACCCAACCCAAUGCGCGGUCCGCGGGUGCGGGGGCUCGGUCUCGGUGGGACCGGGACGGCACGGGUUCUCUCUCUCGCUCGGCUGCCCGCCUGCCAUUGGCUUGGACGCGCGGACGCCUGCCUGCCUUUGCCUCCUGUCACGUGGGCCGUGUCCCGCCCACGGCCCACGUUUCCCUCCCCUUUCCCGCUUGCGGUGCGGUUGCGGUGUCGGUCCGCUUCCUGACCGUCGCUCACUGCCGCGCGGGUCCACUAACUGGCUGGGUACCGCUGGCCGUGGUACAGUACUGUAGUAGUACAGCCGUACUGGAAGCAUUUUGUAUCGUUUUCUUCAGCCUGUAGCCUCGUCUCAAGCUGUUAGCUGUAGCAGCACGGCUCUGUGCCAGGCAUAUACCGUGUUCCGUGCUGGAAAGAAAACUCUGCAUUACGCGCUCUCUUUCUUUUUUUUUAAAAAAAAAAACAAAAAUACACUAAUAUAUAAUACUCCUGACUAGGAGUAUUGUAGAUGCGAUACUGUGUUGGGGGCUGGCUGAAGCACGAGUCGUGAGCGAGCAGCCGUGGUGGACAGUGUCGUAGUACGUGUACGAUUGCCUUGUUUACCGAAAACUUGUGCAACUAUGUGCAAGCGCGAUAGCCAUGGGGCCCGUGCCGUGAGCCCGGGGCAAACGCGAGGAAUUCGGCUCUCUCGGGACUCCCCCCCUGUUCCAGACGGGACUUGUCGAGUUUGUCAUCGAUCCACCAGCGGUCCGGAGUCAACCUGCCAGUCCGCGCCUGCCGCGCUCAGCUACCCCACGGUCUUCUGCUCUGCUCCUGGCGCCGGACCGGCCAAUCGCAUUCUCGCCGGCCCUCCCCUACUGCCGGGUUGGAAUCCAAAGCUGUGCGUGAUCGUGUUUACACCCACAACGAGUACGAGACGUGGAAACCCAACACCAAAAAGGCCCACUGUCCUCUCCUCCUCCUCCGCACGGUAGUAGUCCGUCCUCGCAUCCCAUGCCGAAAACGAAAUAAGGGCAGGAAGCCACCAGCACCACACCACCCCACCCCAGCUUGUAUCGUGGCGGGCGGGCGUGCGUGCGUGCGUCCGUGACACAAUGACGGACCGGCCCGCGCGCGGCGCCAGUCAAACAAGCACCUCUCCAUCCCCUGGUCCGUUCACGUCUUACCCCAUCAUCUCCUCCUAGUCUAUCCUACUCGUAUAGUAUAGUAUAGUAUAUACACGAUACUCCCACCACGUGCUACGCCCAUCCAUACCAUAUAUACACCGUAUACCAGCACGUGUCGACUCGAGGAAAGGGCCCCUCGGUCCCACUGACCCGUGGGCCCAGCGGGGACUCUUCUAGUAUACAGAUUGCGGGAAAAAAAAAGCUUCACGUACAGUACGCUACUCCGAAAGCAACUUUUCGUUAUCCUUCCUCCCGGUCGUAAAGACGAGCCGUGGGUCCCGGGGCCCACACCCAGCCAGCCAGCCAGCCAUCCAGAUACACACGGAGCCGUGGUGGGGCCCGCCCGCCCGCGUCCCGUCCCGUCCCGUCCUGGCUUCCCCCCACUUCCUUCCCGUUCUCCGCCCGCCCGCCUGCCCGCCUGCCUGCCUGCGGCUAUAAAUAGCCGGCGCGUCACCCUCCCCGCUCCGUUCCCCUCCCGGCCUCCUCUCUCUCUGCUCUCUCUCUCUCAUACGGACAAAUUCGGCUCGCCGCUUUGUUUACAGCGGCGACGCAAGCCACGCAGCGAGCCGCGGUUGGGUUGGCGUUGCGUCUCCCCUCCGACACCGAAGCUUCCUCCGGGGACAUCUCCCUUCCUCCCUCCGACCGCCCGCCGCAACCCAAAUCGCCGAUCUCCACCGGCGACGUUGCCCGGCUGGGCCUCGGCUUCCGAUUCCGUGUGGCGACGGACCGGAUCGGCCCGAAGCGAGGUACGGCACCUCGAUUCAGCUGUUUUCCCUCUGCUUCUCGCGCGAUCGGCGGUUUGGUCCGGGUCCGGGUACUCGUGUAGUGCCCAGGAUUCCCCAGCCUUCGCCGCCGGUGUAGGGAAUUGGGAUAGGCCCGGUUGUGGUUGUGGCGGCACAGGCGGCGAUUUGACGCGCCGUGAUCGAGGGACAUGCGAGGCGUGCUUUAGAAAUGUUGAGCCGUAGAGAGAUUUUCUGUUUUGCUUCUUCUUCUUCCCCCUGUGGGAUCGAAUCGGCCGAUGUGAGUUCCUUGUUGUUUAUUAAGGGGAUCGUAUGAUUACGGAUACAAGAUUUUUUUUCUGGUAAACCAUCAAGCUACCAUAAUUGUUUUCUGGAUAGGGUACAAUUAAUAGAAUGAGUCCGAGUUUAAUUCUGCAGCCAAAGUUGGCUUUUUUUCUUUACUCAAAACAUGUGGUUUCUAUUUAGGGGAUGUACUCCUGACCUUUUUUUUGGUCUCCGCAACCAAGUAAUGUUGUGGUACCUAUUCAAUCGGAGUAAUUGUUCCCCAUUUCCAUGUUGUGUGGUUUCCAUUUAAAUCUUUUUUUUUCAUUUGUGUGUGUCGAAUCAAAUUCCCCGAAAAAAACAUUAUUUAUGUUGAAAUGCCUGUUAUGAUGUUUACCAUAAUCUGCGACUUUGGGCCUACUGUUUCGAUCCAAGUUACCCCUUGGGUAUGUAGUCUCUGCUUUGGCAUCUUGAGUUCCAUCGAUGAAGAAUGUACUAACUCCAUAUAGAUGGGUCAGAUACGUGUUUGCUUUUGUUUUACUUGAGCACUCGAAUAGGAUGUGGAGAUGCUACAGUAGGAUUUCCUCUCGGAGCUCCACCAUUUCGAUACCUCUGGAGCACUUGUCAUCGAUGUGGAGCUCCACCAUUUAGGAUGUGGUGGUGGUGAUUUUGCUACAUGAGACAUCUGAUUUUUUUUUCUUCUGAAUGUUGAAUGCUGCUGUCGAAUCUGAAUGAUGUUUAAUGGCAUUGUUUGGUGGUCAUUUAUUUGGUUGGUUAUGUGAUGUCUUGAUUAACCCUGUCCCCUUGAGGACUUACAGAUUAAUAGUACAUUUGCUGCCUUAUCACCUUCGUUCUAACCUAUUUUUGUAUUUUGUUUAUAGUGUAAACAUGAAUCUGACAUUAUCAUUUGUAGGAUGAUGUUAGGCUGUUGUGAAUAUUGGUAAGUCAGAGUGAUUAUUUAGUAUAUCCUUCAACACUUUUUUGGUUAUGAACUUGAUCAUGCAUAGGGAAGGUGUUUCUAACCUCUCAGUUAUGUAGAACUGGAAAGCAAGAGCUGAUACACGAGAAAAACUGCAGCUUGCCUCCAGUUUUGCGUGCUGAUUCUGAUUAAUAUUUGCAAGAUGAACCUUAUCCGAAAGAAAUCCAAGCUACUUAUCUGUUCAAUUUGGAGUGGGGUGGAUUUACCAAUGAGCAGAGGAAGGGCAGAAGCGCACCCGCCAAGAAUUUUAGGAAUGACAUAGUUUGGGGCCUCUGGGCAUGUAUUGCUUGGAGCAUUUCUUCUUUCAUUUCCAUCUGCCUUUUCUGUUCUUUGUAUAUUUUGUUUCUUUUGUGCUAUGUAUAGUAAAAUUAAUUUUAUUUGAUUUGUUAAUAAGAAUGUAUGAAAAGUUUGGAAGGAAUAAUGUGAUAUACAAUGUGGUUGUAAAUCUAUUUUAUAUGAGUGCCUAUUUGUAUAUAAAAAAUGGUUAUUUUUUUCUAGUUUCUGGAGCCUUUAUGGUACACUUGAAAUUCUACUUGACAUUAUCACAGGUCAUUUUGCGUUGUUAGGUUCCAUGUAGCUGACUUUUGAUAAUUUCCCUUGUCAGUUUGUAUCUAGUACUAUCGUUGUGGGAGAUAAGGACACUUUCAAGUGCCAAUAUCUGUAUUCCGUAGUGUAUUUACCAGCAGUUUACCUGUCAAGGGAUGUAUACCUUAUAGCGCAUUUGCUUGUCAAUCAAGGAAGAAUAAUUUGGACUGCAUAUAUUUCACAAUGUAAAUAUCUCAUAAAAAUAGUGUUUCUUCCAUAUGUUUUGUGUGACUUUUCAGUUGUAUGAAUUGAUUGAAAUUCUGAAUCCUUGUGUUGUUUCAUCUUGCUGUCCAUCGAUGUGUUCAUUCAGAAAUGUGUUUUUCUAUCCAUGUAUAUUGAAUAUGGAAUGCACUUUAAUGAUUUUGGUACUUUUUUUUGUGAUAUCUUAGGCACACAAUAUAUGUAGUGCCGCAUUGGUGACAUAGCAAUAUUGGUGACCUAGCAAUAUCUUAGGCACAUAAUAUCAUGGCAAUUUAUGCUUUCAUUUGGGUCUUUAACUCUUAAUGUUAUGUGAUGCUGGAUUAUUGAUAUCGAUUUUGUUUUCCAUUUCCAGAUUAUUAAGGGCUGGCGCACCUGACUUCUUGUUUUAUGGCUCGGAAUAACCAGGGUCAUCUCCAGCUGCCAGAGAUGGAUCAUAUUCAACCCAAGAACAUCCCACACAAUGAAUCACUGCCUCUAGGUAGGUGCACUGACUCCAGUACUCUAUACUUGUGUAAAUUUAUCGAAAGUUGUGAUAAAAUAAAUAACAUUUCUUGUUCUAAUCUCAGGCCAGAAGCUUCUACUGCAUCAUGGAAGUGAUGCGCCCCUUAGAAUUGGUCAUUCUACUCAUGGGAAUAUGGGACAUAGAAUAAAUGAUCUUCCAUCUUCAAGUCGCACUGUGCAAACUCUAGGUUAUAGAGUUGGGAACCCAGGAACCUCACACGCUCCCUUUGUUCACUACCAUGCUGGAAGUUCCAGUAGCCAUUUACCAGCAGAACCUGCUGUGGAUUAUCUACAUAGGUCUGAGGAAGGCUUUGCUCCAGUGGGUUCCCAUAUAGACAACAGAAGGGCUGCAAUGAAGCGAAAAGAUCCCAGUGUACACCCUGCGGGGAUCAGUGCUACUGGUUAUUAUGUUGGAAGUUGUUCCAAUACUCAGCCAUCUAACUUUGUGCAGCCAAAUCCUGCUCCACUUGCUGAGCCCUUGCUUCAUCAAAUACCUUUAAGCAUUGACCAAAGUGGUUGGGAUGGCCAACACUUAAUUCAUCAAGAAGGAUUCCAGAGGAAUGUGAGAGCACGCCACAGUCAUAAUAUUUCAUUAGAACCCAGAUCAGCUUCAACCUACCCACUAAACAGUGCUCACAUGUCGUCAUUUGGUUCAACUGCAAGUGCUUCCUCAAGUACAUCAGUCGAAAGGAACCAAGCACCUGUUUCUCUGCCAACAAGAACUGUUCCAUCAGGUUAGUAUUUGAUGCUUAGUUAAAUAUGCUUGAUUAUCUAAUAUUGUUUUACAUGACAUGGUGGAAGCAAACUUGAUCCUUCAAAGUUUGGUUAGGAGCUGCUUUCAUGAGUUGAUUUAAAACAUGAUGCAAUACAUGUCUUUUGAGUUUGAACUGAACAAUCCAUUUCGUUUUAAUGAUAGCAGUUUCUGUUAUUGAUUAGUUUUACCAUUAUUCAUACUUACAGUGCAGAAAUUUUUAUGGUUUUGUAGGUGCACCAGGUAUCACUAGCAGGGCCCUGACAGGGAGGGCCUACUAUCCUGUGGUUGGAAGCAGCAGCCCAAGUGUUGGUGCUGUCCCAACUAUCCAUGGAUCAUCUGGCACUGCAAUAUUUGCUAAUGGUGGCUAUGCUCCUAGUACUGCUCAUACUGGAACUGUUCCUAUCUACCCUAAUGGAGCUCCUGCUACUUCAUCUGGCUCUAGAGCCAUGCCCCAUCAGAUGGUCAUUCAGAAUCAUCCACAUGCUACCUCUGCAGCAACCUCUACAUCCAUGCGUGACAGAAUUGCUGCGGCUUCUAGACAUGCAAGACAUGUAUCAGUAGGGCAUGCUAACAAUGGAAGGUACAGAAGGGCUAGGAGCUCUUACUACAGUCUUCAUCCAUUGAUGGUAGAGGCAGAGGUACAUAGCUUUUUCUUCCCUGUUUCAGUGAAAGCUGAGUUGUUGUAUAACUUGAAACUGAUAUUGCUGCUGUUUGUGUAGCGGUUCAUGAUGGACCAGUUAGUCUUUUACGAAUCAAGAGCAGCAGCUGCUGACCCCCACAGGGACAUGAGACUGGACAUUGACAACAUGAGUUAUGAGGUAAGGAGUACUGCAUUUUGCUCCUCCAACUGUCUUGCUCUGGAAAUUUGAAGAUUUCUUCUAACUAAUACUUCAUUGCCUACAGGACCUGUUGGCUUUGGGAGAAUCUAUGGGUAACGUCAGCACAGGCUUGGCUGAUGAAAAAAUUUCGAAGUGUGUGAAAGAAGUGGUCUGUUGCAGUUCUGGCCAGAUGCAAAUUGAUGAAGAUGACCAAGAUGAUGGAAGCUGCAUCAUUUGCCUGGUACAUUUUCUCAAUAUAAUUCAUGUGUAAUCUGAUACCUAAUAAGUUAAUAUUAUAUAACGUUGGACCAAAACUGUUGAAUUCUAUUUCUGACCGAUGGAUGCAUUCUGACAGGAGGGUUACAAAGACAAGGAUAUGCUGGGGAUACUGAAAUGCAGGCAUGACUUCCAUGCCGACUGCAUCAAGAAGUGGUUGCAGACGAAGAAUUCAUGCCCGGUGUGCAAAGCAGCCGCUGCUUAGGACAACACCAGAGGAGCAAAGCAACUAUUGUGCUCCUCGAUCCAUUCAUUUUAGGCUCAGAUUAAAUUAUGCCAUUUCAUUCUUUUCGUCCUGGCAGCCAUGUAAAUAAAUGCUCUAUGGUGAUUAAUUAGUUAUCUCUUGGGUUACAUUAGCCUGAAUUCUUUUGUUGUAUUGUAACAGUCUAGUUGUGAAAGCAACUAAUCAUCAAUCAAGUGGUUAAAAGCUCAUGUCCUGGUUUUCGGAUUCUCCGACACUUGAAAUCAGUUGCGAGGUACUUCUCUGGUGCCAGCCUUACCUAGGUGAAGUUGCAAUUGAUGGUGGAGUUGCUUAGGGGCAACCAUUGGUGCUUGGUAACUUCGGAUUGAAGGUGUUUUUUCCCCUAAGAGUUCCAUUGAUUAGAAGCAUUAGAAGCAUCUUACAUGGAUUACGAUGUCGUAUGCUGAAGUGAACAUCUGCAGUUGGUUGCUACAUGAGAAAAUAACGGAGAGAUUUAGAGCGUUCCUAGUCUGAUGGGCUAUAAUAUGUGAGGUCACCUAUUCUGGUUUCUAUGAAUCUUAAAGACUUUGUACUCCCUAGUCCCUACAUUCCAAAUCAUGACACAUUUUGGAUUUUUAAAAUUCAUAACUUUUGUUACGCAUCUAGAUAGAGAUUAAAAACUAUUGAAUUUAGAAAUGCCAAAAUGUCUUAUAAUUUGGGACUGAGGAAGUAAGUUGGUUGUAUCUGAAGUAUGAUGAUUGAAGUCCUGAAUGGUUGGGAUGAGCACUGUAACAGAUAUAAAUUGUGUGGGCUGGUUGGACCUGAGUCUUGAGAAUGAAGAACUGAACUUGAUGGCCUGCGACCCUGUUCUUCAUUCGCGUUUGACUACUGGAUGCGCCUGCAGACUCUGUUCUUUAUUCCCGUUUUAGACUAAUGGAUGCAGGGACUAAAAAUUAACGGAUGUCAUAUCAAAUGUUACAUAGGAUGUUAUAUAGGGUAUUCGUAUACUAAUAAAAAAAUAAAUUAUAGAUUUCGUCAGUAAUCCACAAGACGAAUUAUUUGAGUCUAAUUAAUCUACCAUUAGUAAAUAUUUACUGUAGCACCACAUUAUCAAAUCAUAGAUUAAUUAGUUAUGUAUGUGUCUAAACAUCUGAUAUGAUGGAAGCUAAAAUUUAACACACGGAACGAAGAAUUCUUCUUUGUUGUCGGCCCAAUCAGUUCUGCUUGUUUUCGGCUUCUGUAGCUGUGUUUCUUGUGUACUCUUGGUAGGAUUUUUAAUUAAGCCCUUCCAAAAAAGACCUUAGAUAGACUAAGCAUUCUUGUUUGCUUUAGACCUGAUGUGUGGUUAUGUGCGUGUAUGUACUCUACAUGGAUGCGGCACCAUGCUGAUGGAGACGGUUGGAUCGGAUGUUAGCAUCGUGGCAGGCUGAACUGCCGAAGAACACACCGGAACCCAGCCGUGCGAUGCAUUUCGAUCCUAGUCGGUUUUUUUUUUUUGUUUUGUUUCCCUGCCAAGCUGAAAGAAUCAUUGUUGAACCAAUUCCUACUCCCCCCAAGAAAUAAAACGUUAGAUGCAGAGGCUAUUCACAAUGACAGAAAUGCACCUCAGCUGCUCGUUUACUUUUGUCCCCAAAAUAUUCCCUGGCGUCAGAUCUCAUCGUUCAUGUGCUGGUUCGGUGACACCACUGGACACUGGACAGAGUGUCUUUGUGGUGAGCAACAGGGGAGCUGAGCCUUGGUAGAUCCUAACCUGCACUCAUUCAUUCAUCUAGAAAUAAUACCACUGGAUCUAGCUAAGACUAUCUCCAACAAUCGUCACCCAAAAUACAAGACUCAAUCGUCACCUAAAAUACAAGACUCAUUUGUCUUUUGGGUAGCGCUACAGGUAAAAAGUCUCAUACCUAUUUUUAGUCUUCUCCAACAACGAGACUUAAAAGACAACACUCUCUGCAAAUGGGUCUCAAGGAAAGAGGAUACCGAAAUUUAGGUUAUGCCUCUCCUAAUACUCAAAAUAGGUGUAUUCAGUUGGAGAGUAUAGGUAUCGUGUUGGGAGAUUCUUGGCCAGGAAUCGUUCCACUCAUUCACGGUUAUACAAAUUUGACUAUCAUUCUUGGCUGGAAUUCCAGGCCAAACGAACAACCCCUAAAUGAGGACUGGAUUGAUCUAGGAAGCUAUCUGAAGUUAGUUGAAAUUUUGUUUUCUUAAAAAAAAAAUCAACCAAAUGAAUUAGGCCCAGGAUUAUCCAGACAAGGAUGUGAUAGCAAAGGUUGCUACUUGCUCAAGAAGUGAACAACUGCAGAGAAAUCUUGUCCUAAGCCGAGUUACCCCCCUUGAAUGGAAGGAAACAAGAAAAAAAAAAACCCGCUACCAAUUUUCAGUCAGAACUAUAAGUCACCUUUUUUUUUCUGAGGGAAACAAGUCACCUGUUCUUGUUGUUUUUCAUGAGGGAAACAAGUCACCUGUUGUUUUGAGUUGUCUAAUAACAAACUCUACCCAAUCAUGAUUUAUGAUGGAUUAUCUAUCCCUGAUGAAAUUCAUCCGGAGGGCUAACAUCAACCGUCCUCCUCGUUCACUCAUUUGUCCCGUUCCAUGUUCCGUUAAGGCCUUGUUUAGUUCCCAAAAGUGAAAAGUUUUCGAUACUAUAGCACUUUCGUUUGUUUGUAACAAAUAUUAUCCAAUCAUGGACUAACUAGGAUCAAAAGAUUCGUCUCGUGAUUUACAACUAAACUGUGUAAUUAGUUUUUGUUUUCGUCUAUAUUUAAUGUUUCAUGCAUGUGCCACAAGAUUCGAUGUGACGGAGAAUCUUGAAAACUUUUUGGUUUUCAGGAUGAACUAAACAAGGCCUAAGCUGGCAAGCCUUUGUUUUUCAGCUAAUCAGCCCUACCAAAAACAACAGCCUAUCACUGACCCUGUCACUCCCCCACAAAGGCCACAAAUCAGCAUCAUUACCACCUUGUGAUCGUCAGAAAGAUGAGGAAAAUUUAGCCCCCUGCAAUCUGAAUUAUCUGCACUUGCUGCUGCUUGAAGCAAGCAUGGCUGUUAGGCUGUUCCACCUCGGCAGCUCACCUCACCUCACCGUUUGGUGCCCUGUAACUGUAAGACUCACCCCCACCACCUUCUCUUACAGCUCACUCUUCUCCACCCACCUCGCUGCCUAUAAGUGGCAGCGUCACAAGCCCCCUGCCUCACCGAUCCACCUGCAUUUGCAUUUCCAUUUCCAUGCACAGACUUGGCAAGUAACACGUCGCCGCCCCAUCCCAUCAGCAGCAGCAGCAGCAGUCACCAUGCAGAGACUCGCGCGCGUCCUCGUGGUGCUCGUCGUAGCCGCCGCCACGGCGUCGGCACAGGGCCCGACGGCGGCGCCAGCGACGCCCACGCCGGCAACACCCGCGGCGCCGGCGCCCAAGGCAGCGACAACGACGACGACGUCGAGCAACAUCACGGGCGUGCUGGCCAAGGGCGGGCAGUUCAACACCUUCAUCCGGCUGCUCAAGUCCACGGGGGUGGCGUCGCAGAUCGACAACCAGGUCAGCAAUGGCGGGAACGGGAUCACGGUGUUCGCGCCCACGGACAACGCCUUCACGUCGCUCCCCGCCGGCACGCUCAACUCGCUGUCGGACCAGGACAAGAACGCGCUGGUGCAGUACCACGUCGUGUCCACCGCCAUCCCCAUGUCGCAGUUCGACACCGUCAGCAACCCGCUCCGGACGCAGGCAGGGAGCGCCUCCCCCGGGGAGUACCCGCUCAACGUCACCUCCGAGGGACAGCAGGUGAACAUCACCACGGGUGUCGUCAACGCCACCGUCGCCAACUCGCUCUACUCCGAAGACAGCCUCGUCGUCUACCAGGUCGACAAGGUGCUGCUGCCGCAGAAGCUCUUCGGCGCGGCGGAAGCGCCCGCGCCCGCGCCGCUCGCGCCGGCCAAGAAGAAGGGCAAGACGCCGGCGGCCGUCGCGGACUCGCCCGAGGCGGAGGCGGAGGCGUCCCCGGACGCGACGACCGCGUCGCUCGCGCCGGCGAGGUUGACGACGGGAGGUGCCGGCCUCGCCGCGGCUCUUGCGCUCGCCGGCGUGUGGUGGGGACUGUAGGGACGGCGAUGAGGUUUACGGCCGUGACAUCCAUCAUGCAUGCCAUCUUUUUGUAUACUUUUUUUUUGCAGGUCUUGUUGGUCUUUUCGUGCCCAUUUUUGGAUGAAAUUAUUCUUCCCUGCCCUUGAAAUUGCUAGGAGUAUGUCUUGUAAUGGUUAAUGUAAUGUCGUUGUCUCAUUUUUAUGUAUUUCCACUAAAUAAAUAUGAGUUGCGUAUAUUUCAGUAUCCGGUUCUAUUUAAUUCAGUGCCUAACGCACACAAACAUGAAACCACAACUUUAUCAAAUUGGGCCUAGUUCCAUUAAAAAAAAUAAUCACUCGAACAGUAUUGAAGCAGAUACAUUCGAGAGAAACACAAUUCUUUUUACGAGAUCCUGCAAAUAAUAACUAUUACAACCUCUCUCGCUAAGAAAAAUAAAAAGAAAAGGUAGCAUUACAGCCUGUAUAAGUGUACUCCCUCUGUCCUUAAAUGUUUGUCACCACGGUUUGCGUAUCGACAACUUUGACUCGAUUUAUAAAAAAUGUUUGCAACAUUUUUAUCUCUAAAUAAAUUUAUUAUUCAAAUAUCUAUCCAAUGAUACUAAUUGUGUAUCAUAAAUAUUAUUAUUUUUUUAGUAUAUAUUUAGUUAAAGUUAUUUCUCGGGAAACGAAAACGACAAAUAUUUAGGGACGGAGGGAGUAAGAACCAAGGAACAAGACAUUCAGUUCAAUUUUGUCAAAACGCACAUCAAUCAAAUCAAGAAGGUCGCAGUGAGCUUUCCAUGCUCGAAGUCCUUGCAUGAGCAUUACAGCAACAUGGAACAGAUACCGAUUGCCCAGCUCUUCAGUUGUAUAUAUUAUUGAUUCAUUAGGGAACAUAUCCCUGUCAUCGCCACCGGUUGUUGAAGAAUGUAACAGGAUCCCCAAAUGUUGUGGUAAGCAUGUCCUUAUGUUUUCCUCCAUAUGACAGUCUACCAAGAAAACUUUCUGCAGUGAAAGUGGCAGCUUCACAAUUCCUAAUGCAGGAGAGUCUUGCGUUGGUUGGCUGAUAAGCCAUGACUUAAAGUACUGUUCGCUGAUUUAUUGUGAGAGAAAAAUACUGUUGAACAGAUAAACUCAAACGAACAACUUCGCACCAGCAGAUCAAGCAGUUGUUCCAACUGGUGGAAUUUGGGGCCUUGAGAUGCAAUCUUUGAGAUGCAGAUGUUCCAAGUUUCUGAAAAUUGCCAAUGAUGGUGAAACUUGGGGUUGGGACCAUGAUGGAAACUUGGUCCCUAGAAAACCAUGAAUAAAUGGUGGGUCAGAUUUGGUGGCGGCACAAGAGUUUCAUAAAGUGCAGUCAUAUUUCUCUGGACUUCACUUGUCCCAUGAAGUGCUUCUUCGGAUAUGCUCCUGACUAUAGUGCAGUAAGUGACAGUUCCUUUAACCUUGUCUUGUCCUUCAGAAUUACACCUGCCACUUUUACUCUUUCAUUCAAGCUUAUCGAUUCGGAGAUGCCUAAGCUGCGAGAGGCUUUGCAAUGCGUCCAGCUUGAAUCCAUUAGAACUUUCAAAAACUCCCAUGAGCAUGUCAAGACGGUGCAAUCACCCAAUUCCAUGUGGCAUCGAAGUAAUCGCAAUCUCAUUGAUGUGAAGAAACAUCAGGUUUGAUAGUCUGCGAUACUAUUAGGCAACACCCGAAGCUCACUGCAACCCAGCAACGGAAGAUACUGAAGAUUUGGAAGAUGCCCUAUUGACUUUGGGAUUCCCUGGAGUUUUGUGAAGCUGAGAUUCAGAACCCUCACAAGCACCAAAUGAAGCUGGGAUUCUCUGGUGGUAUAUCUGCCCUAACAACAACUUCUGACAAAGAAUGAGUCUGACAGACGUCUACAUUAGGAAUGCUAGUAUGCUCAUGGAUAAUUCUAUCCAACCUAAGCAUAACUCUGUCCUUCAAAAUUCUCUCAAGUCUUUUGUUAAUGUCCUUAAUUCUAUAACCAAUCUCACAGUUGAAUUGAAAGUCUCCAAGACAAAAGAAGGAUGGGGCUCUGCGGCAUACCCAUUGGUUCAGCAUAGAGGAUAGCUGCCUAUAGGAUGAUCUCUGGCUCUUGACAGAUCAGAAAUCAAUCAGAUCAUCAACAUCAUACAUGAUGUCUUUCAGCUGGUUCAGCCAGGUGUUGAUGGCACUAUCAUGGAUCCUCUUCACCUCAGCAUCAACAAUUACUCUCUUCAUGUAGUCUAAACGACAUUUGAGCACUUGAAGAUGUUGUACUACAUCAAGGGCUCUCAUCACCCUGUCUUCAAUCAGAUCAGCUAACUUACUAGUGUAUCCGGCUAUGACUGCAUCUGCGAUCAACACCAUCUUGUAUUCUUGUGUGGGGGUUAGUUGAUUCCUUCUGAGACUUGCCAACAAACAGAAGGCUCUCUGGUCUCAAUGCUAGAGAUGAAAUGAUAAUGUCAACAUGUUUAGCCUAAGCAUCGCAAAAGGCCAUAUAUGCAACACUCACAAAAUAGUAGUCUAGAAUCUAGAUUGUAGACCAGAGAUGAAGUGCAUGUUUACAAAUCCUUCUCUCGUUUUAUGCAUAGAAAAGAAGAUAAUCAUGUUCAAUUCCAAUAAAAUAUCAUUACAUGUAGCUGUAAAGUGUGUUGACAUUCAUGUCCAAUGCUAGAGAUGAAAUGAUAAAAAAUGACAUGGUGUUUCAACGAAAGCAUAUUUUUGGGUACCAUACUGUGUUUGAAAGUACUAGUACAUAACCUAUCCCGGUGAUGUAUUCAUUUGGAAACAAAAGGCAGGCAGGUUCCUUUCAAAAAAAAAAGGCAGGCAGGUUCAUCAUUGCAUCACCAUAUAUAUCUGGGUCCCUAGAGCUGAACAAGUUGCAGAGGAGGUGAGAUUGUAUUAUCUGCGACUGGUGCAGUGAGAUUUGGGGGGCAAAAUACAUAAACUAGCCAGCAGUAGUCUCCCAAGCAGACACACCAUUUAGUAUCAAUAGUUUUGCUUUGAGGAUGCAACAACUAGUGAUGAAGACUUUGUCCACUGCACGCGGCAACAAGAACACGAGAUGUUCCACUGGCAGUAGGAUGGAGCAGGAAACAUGGGUGAAGAACUGAAGAAUUUAUACGUACGCACCAUUCAUGACAUCCGUGCAUCCCUGUAGAAGAGCAUCUCUCGCCGUCAUUCCAUCGAACACCUUUCAUCCCUGCAGAAGAAGGCAGGCAUACACAGGCUGACAGGCAGAUUGGCUGAAGCAAAGAGGAGCGAAUCUGCGAAUGAAACGAAACUAGCAGAAGUGGGAGAAAACGAAGAGGGAUACAUGAAUUCCUUUGACCUGACCCUGGCUGGCAGGCGCCAGAUCGGUAGCCACUCGCCAGCGCGUGGUGUUGGCCCAGGAGCAAGACAAGAACCCUGAAGGCUAUUCACUAUUGUCCAUGGCAGAGGAGAUUAGGGCCUUACCCAUCCUAAUGAAUAGUGAUGACGCGAUCGCGGCAAGAGGGAGGGAGAAAACAAAAAUAAAUACUCCAUCCGUCUGAAAAUAGAAAUGGCGGUUUGACUUAGCGUGGAAAUUCUUCAACCCUUGUUUAGCUCCAAAAACUUUUACAAGAUAUACAUUGUAGCACUUUCGUUUAUAUUCGAUAAAUAUUAUCAAAUUAUGAAUUAACUAGACUCAAAAUAUCCGUCUCGUAAAUUAUAGGUAAACUGUGUAAUUAGUUAUUUUUUAUUUAUAUUUAAUGUUUUAUGCAUGUGCCGCAAGAUUCGAUGCUGAAAAACUUUACAAAUUUUUUGGAAACUAAACAAGGCCUAAACUCUCGAAAGUCAAGACUCCUUUUAAUGACCUAGCUACUUUGUCAUGUGACUGAAAAGUAAAUGGCCUCCCUAUUGAUAUUUGUCCUCCACUCAAAAAGUUGCCUUGUUUAGUUCCUAAAAAUUUUGCAAAAUUUUUCAGAUUUCCUGUCACAUCGAAUCUUUAGACGUAUGCAUGAAGUAUUAAAUAUAGAUAAAAAUAAAAACUAAUUGCACAGUUUGGUCGGAAUUGACGAGACGAAUCUUUUGAGCCUAGUUAGUCUAUAAUUGGACAAUAUUUGUCAAAUACAAACGAAAACAUUACUAUUCAUAUUUUGUAAAAUUUUUUGGAACUAAACAAGGCCUCGGUCACUAAGUGGUGCCACACCCAUAACCCAUCGGUUCAGCAUACUACAUCCUUCUCAAACUCUAAAAUCGUAAAUUAACCUUCCUGCACAGGUUCAAAUUAGUUUUGAAAACGGUUUCAUCCUUUUUAAUUAAAAAAUUAUAAAUACUUGACAAUGAGAUCUUUAAAUCGCAUAAAACGUCUCCAAGUUUCUAAAAAAAUUGACUAAAAUUCUAGAGAUAGACUGGGAUAUGAAAAAUAUAAUAAAAUACAAGUUCACGUGAAAAUAAUUUGAGAAGAUUUCAGAAACUAGAUUUAGCUUUAAAGGCCAAAAAAUCUAAAAAACUAGAAAAAUCCAAAACAUUCUAAUUCAUGUUUGAAAACUUUUCACAUCAAAAAACAUAAGGCACAGCCAUUAGGAAUGCAUGGCCCAAAUGCAUUCAGCACUAAGGUAUGUAGCGUCAUGCCGGUUGCAUCUAUCUUUUUUUUUGCUAUGAAAAUUUUUAAAACACAUUUAGUUAAUGACUCGAAUUUUUUGGGAGAUCUUUUUUUGGGAUAUUUUUUUCCUUUUUCUUAGAGUAAUUUUGUCAAGCUUCUAUACAUUUUUUUUUUGAAAACGUGCACCGCACGUACCUCAUUAAGAGAAGAAGGAAUGAUCAGUUACAUCCCGGCAUUCCCUAUGGCGAGAUGUCUAAGGAUACGCCGGAAACACACUUACACACAAGGCGCCGGCUUCUAUACAUAUUUUACGGUGCUAAAUAUUUAACUUAGGUUUUUUUUUCAUAUCCCAAUCCAUCUGUAAGAUUUUCUUUGAAAGUUUAAAUAUUUUUCAUGGAUCCAAAAUCUUAUCAACUAUUUAUCAUAUCUCUACAUUAACUAAAAAGAAUAAACCGUCUUGAAAACCACUUCAUUUGAGAGCAGAGAGGUUAUUUGAACAGUUUGAAUAGUUUAGAAUUUAGCUGGCGGGGGGGGGGUGGUAACAGAUCACGACAAAAUUAGAGAAAUAAAAUGAUUUUUAUUACAUGUGGGUCUUCUUUUUCUUUUGAUGAGGUUGGAGUGGAGCAGAGUGAAAUUACGAUAGCAGGCCCCGCUCCCUCCUGCCCACCGGACGAACCUUUUUCUUUCUUUUGGGACGGCAAAAAUACAUCGGGAGCACUGCAGUCUGCCUCGUACCGUAGGAGGAGUGUGUGUGCACUGCACUGCCUCCGCAAUCCGCAUUGUCGGAAAGCACCCAUUGCGGCAAAAACUGUUUUGCCCUCGUUCGGGAUUUCCGAAGCGCAUUGCGUCGUCGUCACGCGGUCACUCACGCCCGCCCCUGGUCUUGUGAGUUUUGUCACCUCCCGCUACCACCCACCUGCACCCACGGCUCAACCUAAUUUUCUCUAACGUCAUUAUAGAAGUAGGCCUUGUUUAGUUCCUAAAUAAUUUUACAAAAAUUUUCAGAUUUUUCGUCACAUCAAAUCUUGCGAUACAUGUAUGAAGUAUUAAAUAUAGAUAAAAGAAAUAAUUAAUUGCACAGUUUACCUGUAAUUUGUGAAAUGAAUUUUUUGAGCCUAGUUAGUCCAUGAUUAGACAAUAUUUGUUAAAUACAAACGAAAGUGCUACAGUAUCCAUUUUGUAAAAAAAUUUGAUACUAAACAAUGUUGUAGCAGUAGAAGUUUUAAAACAGAAAAAGUAUAGAAAAUUAUGAAAAAAAAGAAGGGAGGGAAAUAAUAUAAACAAUAAUCCCAAAAGUUCUCGAUAAUCGAGUAAUCGUACGCAUAAACAAAUGCUGAAAAGUCAUAGCUGAAAAUAUUAUUUGCUAAUUUAUUGUUAGAGAAAAAUAUUGCUGAAUGUACGGUGAAUUUGACGAAUAAUUUUAAACGAAUGGGCAAAAGACCAGACCGAAGAGAAUAAGGACAGACAUGGGAGGGGGAUCACCUGAUGAUCCACCAAUGGUUUUGUUGGUUUCUGCCGCGGGCUAUGCCCCCUCACGUGCCAAACGAUAGGCCAAUCGCAGAGCAGUAUUCAACUGCUGCAUGCAGCUGCUGGUUUUGCUUCCUGUUGUUUCCCAUGUUCCUUCGGUCUCAAGGAAGGAAACCAAACCACCCUUUCAAGUGCACUUCACCUGCGCCUGCGAGUGGACUCUCUUCAGUUCCUCUAUGUUUUUUUUUUCUUUAGGGCCUGUUUGAAACAAAGGCCUUGUUUAGUUCCCAAAAAAAUUUGCAAAAUUUUUCAGAUUUUCCGUCACAUCGAAUCUUUAGAUGCAUGCAUGGAGUAUUAAAUAUAGAUGAAAAUAAAAACUAAUUGCACAGUUUGGUCGAAAUAGACGAGACGAAUCUUUUGAGCCUAAUUAGUCCAUAAUUGGACAAUUUUUGUCAAAUACAAACGAAAACGCUACAGUGUCGAUUUUGCAAAAAAUUUUGGAACUAAACAAGGCCAAAGGAAUGGAAAACAGAGGAAAGAAAUAAAAUAUAGGAAAUAGGUAAGAGUGAAAUGGCAAAACAGAGGAAUAGAAAAACACAGGAAACAAUCAAAAAAAGGUGUUUGGAACACAGAAAUAAAAAAGAGAGGAAUAAAAAUAGCACAUGCAGAAAAUAUAGAUGUAUUAUUUAGUAAGAAAGCACACAUAGUUUAACGAUCUCCUGCUGACGGGACUCGUGCUUAGUAGAUUGGUUAGCUUGGUGUCAUUUUGCUUUUAUCGUAAUUAAGUUGUGUCUGAUAAAAGACCUCCACACGUUGCAUCCAUCCACCUGCUCCAGCUCCAGCACCUCGCCUGGGGCUGGGCGCCCUUGUUCUACCACCGCCGCAUAGCAUCCCACCGCCCAAGAGAAGCAGACGCGCACGACGUGCUUGUAGCAUGAUGUCGUUCGUGCUUAUAGGCAGCCUAUGAAGAGGAAGAAUGCAGGGCAAAAGAUUGGCUUGUGCGCUAAGCGUGGCCGCGAGCACCGCAGAAAAUUUUCCCUUGGCUCUGAGCUCAUUCUUUCAUUCCUCCAAAAGUACUACCUUUGUUGCCGUUCCUCUGGAAAGAUUUGUCCGAGUUCCUCUAUUCCAAACACGCAUAUAGGAUUCAUUUCCCCUGUAACUCAAUCAUCCACUUUUUCUACGUUUUUCCUCUGUCCCAAACGAGGCCUAAUUUGAUCAGGUCGGUUCCUGGUUCCUCGAUGUUACUAUUCACUCUGUCCUAAUAAUUCGACAAUAUAUAUAUAUAUAUAUAUAUAUAAACAAUAUUAAUAUUCCGUAUCACAUACUAUACUAAAUUAAACACUAUUAAAUUCAAGUCACUCCAACCAACAACUUCAUCAUACGUACACCAAGGGCUUGUUUGGUAUAGCUCAACUUCACUAGUAAAGCUGUUUUUUUAGAAAAUAGUUUCAUGAGUGACUUUCUAGAUGAAGCUGAGCUGUUUUGGAGAAAGUGUUUCGCAAAAUAGCUUCACCAACUACUUUAUGCAUAGUUGAGAGAGAGAAAUGAGGGAGAAGCUACAAUAAGCUACUUUUUUCCAGCUUCAUCCAACUUAUGUCUUUGUGAGAGGAGGAGAAAAACAGCUUUACCCAUGAAGCUGUUUUGGAAAUAAGUAUUUGACAAAAAAAAACACCACGCCCCAAGUUGGUGGUGAUUUUAUACGGACGUCGGGUCGCUUACAUGUGGGGUCCUCCUCCUCGAAACCCAUCGAGUUCCGAGCCAACGUGACGACCUGACGAGUAAUCGUGAUCCAGAGCCUAGCCAAAGGAUAGCUUUUGGUGCAUGCACGUCAUGGCCUCAUGGGCUCUCAUCCGCUCAUGCCCGUGGCCCGGGGAAGACGCCGCCGUACCGGGAAAUGGGCACGGCAGCUCCGGCUUAAACUACUCGCCAUCCACUUGGUUGCCGGCUGUACGCCUCUAUCUGUCUCUAUAACUGACGGCGCGAGUUGCGAACAAGGCCGUGAGAAAAGAGAUGACUUCACCUUUGUUUUUUCACCUAGGUCGUGUUUAGUUGUAAAUUUUUUUUAAAUUUUGACAUUGUAGCAUUUUCGGUUGUAUUUAAUAAUUAUUAUCUAACUAUAAAUUAUCUAGGUUCAAAAGAUUUGUUUCGUAAAUUACAGAUAAACUGUACAAUUAGUUUUUGUUUUCGUCUAUAUUUAUUGCUCCAUGCAUGUGCCAUAAGAUUUGAUGUGAUGAGAAAUCUAAUAAAAAAAAAUUGGGUGAACGCCUUGUUUAGAUGUGAAAAGAUUUUGAAUUUCGUUGUUGUAGCAUUUUCGUUUGUUUGUGACAAAUAUUAUCCAAUUGUAGACUAACUAAGAUCAAAAUAUUCGUCUCGUGAUUUACAGAUAAACUGUGCAAUUAGUUUUUAUUUUUGUCUAUAUUUAAUGCUUUAUGUAUGUGUCGAAAAAUUCGAUGUGACGGAGAAUCUUGAAAACUUUUUGGUUUUGGGUGAACUAAACAACGCCUAAACAAGGCCACAGUACGAUGAUGACGUGAUGAGUACGAGUCCAAACUGAUGAGAUAAAAGUACAACAUAUGUAGAGAUCAUACUCGUUCCAUGCCGAAUUACAAGUCAUUUUAAUUUUUUUAGAGAGUAAAAACUUUUCAAGUUUAAUCAAAAUUAUUUAAAAAAUUAGAAAAAUUUGAGACAUCGAAUAGGUAUACUAUGAAGAUGUAAUUAAUGAAUAGUUUUAAUAAUACUUAUUUGGUAUAUUAUUUUAUUAUAUAAAUUUGAUCAAACUUAAGAUACUUUGACUCUUUAAAAAUUAGAAUGACUUAUAACUUAAUAUGAAGGAGUAUUAUGCUGCAUUUUUUAUAAGAAAAAUCACUAUGUUGUUUUUUAGAAAAAACAAAGUUACUCUGAUGCAAGCUUGUCUUAUGUCUGGAUAAUUCACUAAACUAACAUUUAGUUUGAUUUUUCAUUCAGUCUAAUGGACCCUUCUACAAGUUUUGUUAUAUCUAUUUCUUCAUGUGCAAGCUGAGUUUUAACUUUAAAUUUUGUAAGGUGAUAGAGAACACUAUAACUUUUUGAUAAACACAUUAUGAAUUUUCAUGAUUAUGUUUCAUAUAUAGUUUUAAACUUCUGGUAUUAAUUUACUAUUAGAUGUCCUAGCAUGCCAAAAUAAUAACUAAUAAUAUAUAUUUUAAACAUGAAUUACGAUAUUAGCUGACACAUCACAAAAUUUAAAUUUUAAAAUCGACUUGUAUGUGGAGAAACAAAAGGAAAAUCCCUCAUCAGUAAUGCAACUAUUUUUAUCAACAAAAGGAGGAAGUUCAAUAUUAUUUUGACCCCCUAAAAAAUGAAGAAUGGAACUAUAGCUAUAAGCAAAGAGGUUUGGUAAAUGAAACUACCGAAAAUCAACUUCACACGGCCAUUCUCACCAAACAAGUUAGCAUAACAAAACUAGAAUUAGGAGUAAAAAGUCUUUCCUUUUGCAGUUUCAACAAAAUAAUUAAACGUUACCUUUCUAUAUGCGUAUAACAAUUGAUAACCGAUAUAUUUUCAUUUGACCAUUGGAUGUUGCGGGAGGGGUCUAAUAUUUCAUGACAAAUGUUGACUUCAAGUGGUUUUUGUUAUGUGGGAUUCUCACUUGGUAGUGACGAUGAUGUAGGUUUUGACAAAGAGAAAUAUGAGAAAAUAAGCCUACAUGGAACAACUAUAAUCUCUAUCAGAUACUUUAAGGUUGUUUUCUCACAAUCACAUAGAGAUUAUGGGCGUGAUUGGUACCCUAAAUGCGCCCCAUGCUAGCUCCUCUGAUGCACUUUCCCCGCGCUUGGUUUCUUGUUGCUUUGGGCCUAUCUCGGCUGAUGCAAAAGCUCCCUUGUGGCUUGACUCGCCAGAAACGCAACAGGGCUUCGUUUCCUCGCAGCCUGGCUAGCACCGUACGUCAGGCGCAAGUAGGUUGCACGCGUGAGAGAGCUAGCAUACACGUGAACUGCCCAACCGCUCACCAGCUAUCUAUAUCCUGGUUGAACACAGAUAUCAACCAAACAAAUACCCAUGCACGCAUUGGACGAUAAGAGUUUGGUGCUAUAGGUAUAAGCCAGGCUUGGCUACGCAAGGAACCAAAUGCGCCGUAUGAGGGCAAGAGCUCCUGGUGGCGUCUCUAAGGAAUUCUGACAUAUUACAUGACUCGGCUUUUCAAAAGACAGUGCCACAUCAUCAUAAUAGAUUUUGACAUCCACUUGUUUUGACAAUUUCUGUUGAUUUCAAACAUAUUUUGAUGUAGAACCAAUGCCAUCACAAAAGGGGGUCAUUCUCACCAAAUAAGUUAGCAUGACAAAACUAGAAUAUAGGAGUAAAAAGUGUUUCCUUUUGCAGCUUCAACAAAAUAACUACACGUCACCUUUGUAUAUGCAUAUAAUUGAUAAACAAGAUAUUUUUAUUUAACCAUCGGAUGUUGCGGGAGGGGUCUAAUAUUUCAUUGCAAAUGUUGACUUCAAGUAGUUUCUAUUAUGUGGGACUUCUGAGUUGGCAGUGAUGAUGUAGUUUUUGACAAAAGAAAUAUGAGAAGUUAAGCCUACCUCAACUUGCUGUGGUGGAAAUAAGUUAGAUCAUGCAUUAUACCACUCAGAUUCAGUAAUCUUAAAAUCCAUUUUCAGUGUUGUUUUUUUUUGCUCAAUGAAAAAAAAUCCUAGAUACUUGUAGGUUAUUUUCUUAAUGCAGGUCUCAUUGGAGACUAUAUGAGCGUAAUUGUUAUCUUGAAUGCACCCUCGACCCAUCUCCUCUAAUGCUCUUUCCUCGUGUUUGGUUUUCUGCAUGCUACUUUGGACUUGUCUCAGCUGACGCAAAAGCUCCCUCCCAGCCUGGCUCGCUAGAAACACAAUGAGGAGUCGUUUCCCGCGGCUUGGCUGAUGUUGUGGUCGGCAUCCAGGUUGGACUCGUGAGAGAGCAGGCGUGCAUGUGAACUGCCCAACCGAUCACCAGUUGUCUAUAUUCUGACUCUAAACACAGAUAAACACCCUUGCAUGCGUCGAUCUUGGCUGGAAAGGGCCUGGUGUUGUAGGUACGAACCAAGCUUGGCUACGCAAGGAACCAAAUGCGCCGUAUGAGACCAAGGACCCCGGUGACGUCUCUAAGAAAUUGUGACACACUACAUGACUUGGCUUCCUAAUAAAAGACAGUGGCACAUCACCAUAAUUUUGGACAUCCACUUAUUUCAAUAAUUUUUGUCAAUAAUUUUUGACGUGGAACUAAUGUCAUCGUAAAGCUUGUCUCUUUGGGCCCUGUUGUUGAGUGCCAAGCCACCACACGCCACGCAAGAUGUGGCGUGACCAUGCAUAGAAGCUAUGGCGUCAUGUGGCGAGGAAAGUGGCCGCCAAACCUAUGGCGAAACCCAACACACAAAUACUAUGUGCCUAUCUCAACGUACACGCAGCCCAAACAUCGGCCAACCUAUCGUGUCAGCCACGAGUGUGGUGUUUCGAAUGUUUGCGGGGAACCGAACAACUUCUUUAUCUACUAUAUACAGUAGAAAUGAUUAUAACUAUUUUUUCUAUAUAAUAUAUCUAUAAAAAAAUUAUAUACUGACGGAGCGUAUUUACUCUAGCUCAACCUGCAGUACUAGCAAAUUAUUUUUUUUUUUUGAAAGAGUCAGUACUAGCAAAUUAUGUCAUCCUGAAACUUGAGAAGCCCACAGCCCCCAGACCCAGGGGUGAUGCACCCAGGCACGGACCAAGAAGCUAACGACGUCGCAGAUAAAGAUUGCGUGGGUCCCACUCGAUGGCCAUGCUUACAUGGAGCGUUGCCGACCACAAAACUUUUCUCAAGUAUAAUACAUGGUUUUCUAUAGGAAAAUAAUUUUGAAAAAAAUGUCAAAAAAGUAUAAAAAAAGAGAGUAAAACCGAGAGAAAAGAGCGCCGGGCCCCACGCAAUGGCCGACAUGGACCACCUUUAUAACGGGCCCCGCCCACCGCCAACCAAGCCACAACGCCCACCGCCAGCCAGCAGCAGAGCAGAGCAGCCCCAGCCCAGCACCCCCACAGGCCACAGCACAUCGAUCGCCAUGCCCGCCACCUUCCCGCCGCCGCCGCCGCCGCCGCCUCCCUCUCACAACCUUCCUCCGCUGCUGUCUUCCAACGAGUCCUUCUCCAAGUUCUUCGAGUCCUGGAUCGGCGAGCAGUCCCGCGACCUGGAGGAGCUCCGCGCCGCGGCGUCCGCGGAGCCGGCCGCCCCCGAGGCCGACCUCCGCCGCCUCGUCGACCAGGUGAUGGGCCACUACGCGCAGUACUACAGCACCAAGGCCGCGGCCGCGGCCGGCGACGUGAGCAUGAUGUUCACCCCGUCCUGGACCUCCACCACCGAGAACCUCUACCUCUGGUGCGGCGGGUGGCGCCCCACCGCCGCGAUCCAGCUGCUGUACACCAAGUGCGGGAUGCAGCUCGAGCACCGGCUCCCCGUCUUCCUCGACGGCGGCGGCCUCAAUAAGGACGACCUCAGCGACCUCAGCGUCGCGCAGCUCCGGGCCGCCGACCAGCUGCAGCACCGCACCAUCAGCAGGGAGCGCGAGAUCGAGGAGGUCGCCGCGACCGCACAGGUGAGUGAGUAAAAAUAAAAAAAAUCAGCGGCACUUUUUUUCUUCCAGAAAUGAAAUAUCCAGUGAGGUCAACGAGGGCCGCAUGUGCAGGAGGCGCUGACGUCGAAGACGAUGGUGGAGCUCGCGGGCGGCGGCGGCGGCGGCGGCGGCGGGAUGGACGCGGGGGCGAUGGACCGGGAGAUGCAGACGAAGGCGGAGGGGAUGAGGCAGGUGCUGGAGAUGGCGGACGGGCUGCGGCUCGAGACGAUGCGCGAGGUGGUGGCGCUGCUCCGCCCCGCGCAGGCCGUGCACUUCCUCCUCGCCGCCGCCGAGCUCCACCUCGCCGUGCAUGACUUCGGGCGCCGCAAGGACGGGCACGCCGGCAACGCCGCCGCCGCCGCCGCCGCGCCGCCGGAGUGACGCUGACGCGCCUGGCUGCUCUGCUUUGCGUGUAUCGUGUAAUGGCUCCCCUGUUCCAAGCGGCGCAUGGCUGCGCGCCUUCGCGCGUUCGUAGCCGUGACGCCGCGCUUGUCGCCUAGCUACCCAUAAAGGCUGCUGGCUUGGUCAGCACGAGCUGUCGCGAUAAGCUUUUGAACAUUUUGUUCCUCUAGCUGUUUUGAACAUGUCGAUUUUGUAAAAUAUUUUAGAACUAAACAAAGCCUUACUCUGCCUCAAGGUGUUGCCAGUGUGUGCACUGUGCAGUCGUGCCAUGUCUGUCUUUAGAGUAAAAAUGUGCUCUUGUUAGGUCUUGUUUAGAUUCAUCUAAAAACCAAAAACUUUACAAAAUUUUCGAUCACAUUGAAUAUAGAUAAAAAAGAUAACUAAUUCCACAGUUUACCUGUAAAUCACGAUACGAAUCUUUUAAGCCUAGUUACUCUAGAUUAGACAAUGUUUGUCAAAUAAAAACGAAAGUGCUACCGUGUCAAAAUUCAAAAAGUUUUUGAAUCUAAACAAGACCUAAACAAGGGCCUAGUAUCAUUUGGGGGCGAAAUGUCGGAUUGAGAAAGAAAAGAUGGAGUAAUAGAGCUUUUAGGCUGUGUAGCCGUUUUUUUGUGGCAGCCAAAACAAGCGAAGAAUCCUGCCAAAUGCCCCGUGGUGUGAGAGAUUCUUUUCGCCACACACGACAUCUGCACCAAGAAAAUGAACCAGAAGCCACGUUUUCUGCACCGCGAAAAUGAACCGAAAGCCACCUUUCCAAGGACGAUCACGAACUCACGAUACACAUAUCGCACGACGGUUGCCACUAGCUUUUACUAGUAGAGAGAGAAAUAGAUACGAAAUUGCCACUUUUGCUUAAGGCGGGACCUCACACCAGCGUAGAUCUGAGUCACCAGCCCCAUGUGAAAUGAUUGGCCUGCCCUUGGCGUCUUUCUAUUUCCCUUGCGCAACCUACUCACCUCUCCUAUCCUCUUCUUUCUCUACUCCGCACGAUCCAGGUCUUGCUUGCCUGCCAUCGUCAUCGACAACAUCGCUCCCCAGAGCCAUCUCUUAGGACCACUAUCGCGAUGGAGUAAAUGUAUGUGGAUGCAUCUAACCCUUUCCACGAUCUGCCUUGCCCCCGAAGGGAGUAGAAAGACACCAGGGGAAGGGUUGGAUUUGUGUUGGCGUGAGUGUUGGUGUGUGACUUACAUGAGUAAAAGUGGCAAUUUUGUGUCGUGUUUCUCUCUACUAGCAAAAGUGUAGCGGCAACUGUAAGAGUGUCAUCUCACGCCACUAUCACAAUGGAGUAAACAUAUGUGGCUACAUCUAACCCUUUCCGCGGUCUACUAUGCCUCGGGGGAGUAGAAAGACGCUAGGAGUAGGGUUGGAUACUUGGAUCUAUGUUGGCGUGCUUCGUGAGAAAAAGUGGCAAAUUUGUAUCGUGUUUCUCUCUCUGCUGGGAAAAGUGUAGUGGUAAUCGUAAGAGUGCUAUCUCACGCCACUAUCACGAUGGAGUAAAGGUAUGUGGUUGCAUCCAACCCUUUCCGCGGUUGGCAUUCAACCCUUUCUGCGGUUGCCCUGCCCCAGGGGGAUUAGAAAAGACGUUAGGGGGUAGGGUCGGAUCCGUGUUGGCAUGCGACAUGAGCAAAAGUGGCAAUUCAUAUCGUGUUUCUCUCUAUGUUGGCAAAAGCAUAGCGACAACCAUAAGAGUGCUAUGUCAUAUCACUAUCACGAUGGAGUAAACAUAUGUGGCUCCAUCAACUCUUUCCGCAGUUGGCAUCCAACCCUUUCUGUGGUUCGCCCUGCCCCAAGGGGAGUAGAAAGACACUAGGGGCAAGGUUGGAUUUGUGCUGGCGAGAGGUGCUGGCGUGCAAUGUGAGCAAAAGUAGUAAUUUCGUAUCGUGUUUCUCUCUCGAUCUACUUUUGCCUAGUGGCAACAAUAAGAGUGCUAUCUCACGCUAUUCGAUAUAAUGGUAAAAAAAUAAUUCUCGUGGUAUUGAGUAGUAGAGUUGUUAUAUUUCAAUAAGGUUCUGCUAUGCUGGAGUAGUGAAAUGAAAAUAAUCUGGCUUGACUUCACCGUGACGGUGGAAAAGUGGUUAGAGUGACUUAGGUGUCAUGUUUACAGGAAUCCUUGUUUCAAAUUAGGGAUAAUAAAGCUCUAGUAAUUGUUUCCUUGAAGUUCUAUUGUGUUUUCUAAACCACUCGAUCAUCCCAUCAUGUUCUGUAGUGAAGGAAUGUCUUCUAUUAUGAUCUCAAUAUAUCAAACCACUCAAUAUAUCAUGUUCUGUAGUGAAAAUUUUUAGGUUUGGCUACUAUAGCACUUUCGUUUGUACUUGACAAUUAUUAUUCAGUCAUGGACUAACUAGUCUCAAAAGAUUCAUCUCACAAAUUAUAAGUAAACUGUACAAUUAGUUAUUUUUUAAUUUAUAUUUAAUGUUCCAUGCAUGUGUCAUAAGAUUCGAUGUGAUAGGGAAUCUUGAAAAGUUUUUUAUUUUUGGAGUGAAUUUAGUUCACUCAAAAAAUAAAAAAAAAUUCAAAAUUCCCAUCGCAUCGAAUCUUGCGACAUACUCUCUCCAUCCCUUUUUAAGUGUCGUUUGCGCUUCAAAAAACAACUACCGGUAAUUAUAUAUUAAAAAAUAUUAAUAUUUAUAAUACAUAAUUAGUAUCAUUAGAAAGAUCUUUGAAUAUAGUUUUUUUUAACAAUAUUUAGAGAUACAAAUGUUGCAUGUAUUUUCUACAAAUCGAUUCAAAUUUAUGGCACGUACACCAACGACGACAAUUAAAAAGGGAGAGAGGGAGAUGCAUAAAGUAUUAAAUAUAGAUAAAAACAAAAACUAAUUGUACAGUUUGCCUAAUUGCGAGACGAAUUUUUUAAACCUAGUUACUCUAUGAUUGGACAAUGUUUGUCAAACAAAAGCUACAAUUGCAAAUGUGUAUAUUUCGAAAAAGAAAAUCGUGACCAAAAGUAGGAAAACAAAUUCACCUCGGCCCAGGUUCACUGUGGGCUCCGUGCUCAGAGCCCACAAAUAUCCGCGCCGAUUUUAGAAAAAAAAGCAGAAGGAAGAUAUCGUGGAUCUACCUGCAAAAGGCCACUCCUCACAUUUCACGCGCGCACCACCACCGCCGUCUCCGGCCACGACCACGCCGCCGGCCAUGCCGUCCUCCUACGCCGCCGCCGCUGCCGGAUCCUCUUCCCGCAAGCCGAAUCGCACCUCCAACGCUGCCGCAUCCACUGCUCGCCCACCAGCACCCUCACCGUCGCGGGCACCCGCUGCCCCGGCGGUGAACCCUAGCGUCAUCUCCGAUUCCGACCCCUCCUCCUACUCAUCUUCCUCGGCGGACGAGGCCGAUCUCACCGCCUCCGACUCCGCAACUGCCUCUGUUGUUUCCGCCUACCUCUCGGUUGCUGGUGAGGGGGCCGACCUCUCGAAAGUUGGCAUUUUCCUUUCCUCCGCCGCGCGCCGCCGAUCGCCGCCGUGCCUGAUCUGCUUCGAUCCUAUCCGCCCCUCUGACCCAGUCUGGUCAUGCUCCUCCUCCUGCUUUGCCAUCCUCCACCUCCCCUGCAUCCAGUCAUGGGCUCACCAGUCAGCAUCCGGCGCCGCCGUGCCGUGCCCAACCUGGGGAUGCCCCAAGUGCCGCUUCGCCUACCCCAAGUCCGAGACCCCAUCCUCCUACGUCUGCUUCUGCACCAAAACAGUAGACCCGGCUCCGGACCCCUGGAUCCUCCCCCACUCUUGCGGCGACGUCUGUGGCCGCCGUCUUGAUGCCAAUCUCGACUCUGGAUGUGAGCAUACCUGCCUACUGCUGUGCCACCCAGGGCCGUGCCCGCCAUGCCCGGCCGUUGUUCCUAAUGCGCGGUGCUUCUGUGGAGCGCACAGGGAGCCUCGACGCUGUGCACAUCAGCGUUACUCUUGUGGGCGAAAAUGUAACAAACGUCUUAGCUGUGGACUCCACCGCUGUCCAGUGGAUUGUCAUGAUGGCCCCUGCCCGCCGUGUGCAGUGCAGGGGAGUCACAAAUGUGAGUGUGGAGAGACAAUGGAGGAGAAAUUGUGCUUUGAAAGGAUUUUCCAGUGCAAGAGGGAGUGUGGUGGGAUGUUAGAUUGCGGGAAGCAUAGGUGUGAGAGGGGGUGCCAUGGGGGCAAGUGUGGGGAAUGCCCACUCCGUGGUCGUCGCACUUGCCCAUGUGGGAAGAAGGAUUAUCCAAGGUUGGAGUGUGAUGCAGAGGCUGCCACAUGUGGAUCGACAUGUGAGAAGGUGCUUGGGUGUGGACGACACAGGUGCCCAGAGAGGUGCCAUCGUGGUUCAUGUGAUGAGACUUGCCGUCUUGUGAUCACAAAGGCCUGCCGUUGUGGGGGUCUGAAGAAGGAGGUACAGUCUUAUCUAGUAUACUUAUGAUGGAUCAAUCCAUGUAAGUGGAUAAAUUGAACAGAAGAAUUAUCUGGUUGUCUUUCAACUUAGAGACACUAUUAGCAAUUAGUUCUCAUAAUGUGUACAUCAAAAGAUAAUGCUUUAGAAUCUUGUAUAUAGCUUACAUACUUCUUUAAGAUCAAUGGCCUAUAUUUGAUGUCUGGAGGCCUCUUUGCUUUAGAUUAGUUUUUGUUGUUGUGCUUUUUUACCCUAAUAUGCAAAUAUGACCUGGCACAGCAACAAGUAGUGCUUCCUCAUUUUUUAUUCUCUGAGUGUUGGCGAGUAGGUUGUGCAAACAUCCUUAGUCUAACAUUGAAUGCUGUAGCUGCAUAUGUAUACUUCUAUGCUAUUAGGCCGUGUUUAGUUCGCGAAGGAAAAAAUUUCUUGACACUGUAGCACUUUCGUUUGUUUGUGGUAAUUAUUGUCCAAUUAUGGACUAACUAGACUUAAAAGAUCCGUCUAGUAAAUUUCGACCCAACUGUGCAAUUAGUUUUUAUUUUUGUCUAUAUUUAAUACUCCAUGCAUGCGUCUAAAGAUUCGAUGUGACGGGGAAUCUUGAAAAAUUUUGGGUUUUUGGGUGGAAGUAAACAAGGCCUAGUUAGCAGGAUGCAAGUUCUUAACCUUCAUGCUCAUGUGAUGCAUUGCGUGUCUGCAUCAGGUGCCGUGCUACCAAGAAUUGACGUGUGAAAGAAAAUGUCAACGUUCGAGAAACUGUGGUCGCCAUGCUUGUAAACGACGCUGCUGUGCUAGGGAUUGCCCACCCUGCUCCGAGGUGCAUUUUUUUUCUUUUUUUGGACAUGGUAUUGAAUUCUUUUCAAGAACUAAAAGAUAGAUAUAUCUUUUUGUAGACUUGUGAUAAGAAGCUCAGAUGCGGCAAUCAUAAAUGCCUCUCACCAUGCCACAGGUACUGUCUGAACUCCAAAUCAAACAUACACAUUGGAUUACCAUGUAUUGUUUACAUUUUGAAGCAUAUGCUCGUAGCACAUGCCAAUGUUUGGAUUGUCCCCUACUGUUGUGCAUAAUAGAUACAUGAGAUUGUUACAUUUGUCUUUGGAUUUUGCUUCUUAAUGCCCAAGUUUUAAAGGUUCUUCUUUAACAUAUCUCCUGUUGAUUGACAGAGGUGUUUGUUCACCUUGUCCUCUGAUGAAGACCAUUCCUUGCGCCUGUGGGAAAACAUGUUUUGAGGUGGAAUUCGGUAGACUCUCAGUUCUGUUUUUUGUUUCCUUGUAUAAGUUAUGUUUCCUGCUGUCUGCUUCAUUAGACUGGUUCUUUUCAGCUAAAAUUUAUUUCUUGGUCCAUCAUGCACACAAGAUGCUUGCUCAUCAUAAGAAGAAAAAAGAAUAAAAUUAUAAAAGGGUCUCCUGGCCCAGCUUCUGUAUAGUUUGUUGAAUAGUUGUAUCGUUGUUGCUAAGUUUUAAUUACCAAGAUUAAUAUGCAUAACUCUAUUGCAGGUUCCUUGUGGGACUGAGAAGAACCAGAAACCACCCAAAUGCUCAAAGAAAUGCAGUAUACCUCGCCUAUGCCGACACAAGCUUGAAUGCCGGGUAAUCUGCUGUGUCUUCUUUCCCUGUCGUUGGGUACAUCUCAAUAUUUUUCUAUGUAUAAUUGCAGUAUAUAUGCAUUUAACUUCAUGUUAUUUAUAUUUUUACUUUAAUCAUAUUUGAGUUGUUUGGCUCUGUUUGUAAGGAAGCUAUCCUGGUAAGUUCAAUUGCUUUUGCUGUUACAACUGGAUUCUCAGAAUUUAUGUAAUAUUUAAUUCCUUUUCUUAGCCCCACAAAUGCCACUAUGGAGCCUGCCCACCUUGCAAGCUGACCUGUGGGGAAGAACUUUCUUGUGGCCACACGUGUAAAGAAAGGUUUGUAUUGGUACUACAAGAAAUGUGUAAUUGAAUCUUGUUUUCACUUGGCUGUCUAUCAAGGAUUACCACCUCUGUUAUCUUAGCAAUCUUCAUACACUAUCCAGGUGUCAUGGCCCUAUUUCUCCUCCAAACCCCGAGUUCACACUGAAACCGACAAAAAAGAAAAUGGGAAAGCACAUAGAGUGUACACCCGGGACACCAUGCCCGCCAUGCAAAGAGGUGGUUUUGGUGCCAUGCUUUGGGCAGCAUCUUGGCCAAGAACGCGCUGUAAGUUUUUGGGAACAACACAAUCUUUUAGUCUAUUUGUUACCACGUGGCUUCUCUCUCCCAUGUGUGGCAUGUGCAAAAAUCAGACUACAGAAAACAUAUACUUCAUUUCCACUUCUUGCAGAUGCCUUGUUGCAAAUGGAGGCCUUUUCCCUGUGAAAAUUUAUGUGGGAAUCCUCUCCUCUGUGGCAACCAUUAUUGUACAAAAUCUUGCCAUGUGUUAGAAGUCCCAUUGAAUCAACCUGAAGGAGAUCGUAUAGCAUCUAUCAGUAAAGCAAACACACUUGCUGAGCCUUGUGAACAAUGCAAUCUUCCUUGUCAAAGGGUUAGAUACUCUCUUUUCCUUUCCUAGAACUUUAGUUUUAGUUUGUUUUACAAAGCUUAAUAUGAAGAAGCUACUGCAGUUUUGUAUAAUUUUAAGCUUGGUGCAGGAUAUUGACUAAUUUUUAUUUCAGGUUAGGGAGCCUCGUUGUUCACAUCCUUGCCCUUUGCCAUGCCAUCUGAGCGAUUGUCCAUCUUGUAAAGUCCUUGUUAAAAGACCAUGCCAUUGUGGUGCUAUGGUGCAUGCUUUUGAAUGUGUAUAUUUUAACAACUUAAAUGCAAAGGAACAGAUUAAAGUAAGGACGUGUGGCGGCCCAUGUCAUAGGUCAGUUUGGCUCCUAACUGUUUUGUAUUGAAAUUGGUGCAACUUUUGUUGUUACUACAUUCGAUCACAAUUUUCCAUAAAUUAAAUUGAUUUUAUCAAGCAUUUGAACAUGUUUUUUGAACAGAAAACUACCAAAUUGCCCCCAUCUGUGCUCAGAAGUAUGUCACCCUGGUAUAUGCCCAUCGGUUGAUCAGUGCAUGAAAAAGGUAUUGUCUGAGGCUUUCGUCCUCUCUGACAUACAUACUCAAGCAUUUAUACUGUAGAAUAAGUGAAUAACUAAUAAUAUUGAAGUGGUACACCAAUCCUUGAUCUGUGAUUUUACCAAGCUUUCUGCUGGAACUGUAGUAUAGUGAGAAGAUGUAUUUUGCUUAAUAGGAAGUUUGUUUACAAUUUGAAUUUGUGAUUUAAUUAUAUUCUGUUAAUAGUACUUAUUUAUACUAACUGUAUGAUUUAUCUAUCAAGGUCAACAUCCGCUGUGCAUGCAACACUCUGAAACAAGAGUGGCUAUGUCAAGAUGUCCUCAAGGAAUACCGUAAGUCUGGUCGCGAUCCAAAAGAAGUACCUAAAAGUCAAUUUGGAGUUGGCUUGCUUGCCUGCGGUGAAGACUGCAAGAAGAAGCUGAAGGCUCCAGAUUCAGAGUUGCAUCUCCGGAAAAGUCAGGAGAACAAGGUACUGAGUCUUACUAUUUUUUAAUAUUAAUACAAAAAUUAGUAUGCUCUUUUGUUCUUUGGAAAUGUUUUGGACAUCCCAGCUUUUUGUGCACCUGUGCUCAUUUCCUGUGCUUUCAAAUAAUCAGAGCCCUGCUGUGGAAGUCGUAAAUGUGCCCAAACGCAGGAAGCGGCGUGAGCGUGGACAGGAAGUUAAAAUCUCCAAAUUCCAGGUUUCUGAUGUAGGCACAUUGCUGCUUUAUUUGAAACUCGUGCUCCUUAUCCUUAUAACGUAUCAACAUUUUGCAGGAAGUCAAGACUUACGUGCUGAGAGUGCUACUGAUUAUUUUGCUGUCAAUAAUCGUUGCUGCUGGUCUGUACCUGUUGUGGAAAGGCAUAUUCUGGCUUUCUGACUGGAUGAACGAAAUGGAAGAGCAGAGGGCGAGACAAAGGCAUCCGAGGGGUGCAAUGUUGUAAAAAAAUGAGAGAAGAGUUAUUUUGAUCCUAGAGAAGAGUUAUUUUGAUCCUAAUAAUCGGUGUUGACAUGUGGAUUAAUUCAUAGUUAUUAGGGAUUCAAUUCUAGAGGUUCAUCUAGUGAAACAUGUCACCAUUUUCUUUCUCACUUUUUCUCACUAUACAUUAGCAAUUGUAUGCAUGAUGUAUUGUUGUAUUUUCAUUUUGCUAUUCUGCAUUAUUGUAAGUCAACAAACGAUACAGUUACUAUAUAAUUCAUCACUUAUAUCUGUUAAAAUUGUAGUUUUUAGUACAUCCACUCGGUGCAUCCGUUAAAACGAAUUACUAUUGAGCUAACGGACGAUGGCACUAUCUAUAAAGCCUGCUUUUGGCCAGUAUAUUUUUUUUUGUCUCAAUGGACAUUGCUCGUCCAUACCCACACAUGACAGGAUUAAUUAUGCCCAGGGGUCUAAGGCCCUGUUUGGUUUCCCUUGCUAAAUUUUAGCUAACUAAACUUUAGUCACUUUAAUAGUUAAAGUUUCAAACACAUUGACUAAAAAGAGCUAAAAUAUUUUAAUUCUAUUAGUCAUCCAAGAGUAGCUAAAAUAAUUUUAGCUAAUUAAAAUUUAACAAGGGGAACCAAACAGGCCCUAAAUUCUCACCCUUAUGCCCAUAUUGGUAGUGCAUACCUUGGAUUGCCCAUACCGAAGAGAAACUAUAUCAUUACCAUUAUCAACAAAGGAACAACACAUAUGUUGAGUACAAAACAAUGAUGACAAUAUAAGCUGAUGAUAUGAGCAAAUUAACAUAUAUCACAUAUGUCUUAGAGUAACAUGCAACAACAACACAAAAAAUGCAAUAUAUAGUCCAUCCAUAAUAAAACACUACCCAAUAACAUUUCAAGCCAAACAAACAUUUUAAGAUCACCGCACCACAUGUAGCAGCAGAAUUACUGUACAUCAUAGGCUAGACAAAAGCAACAACAUAAACACCAUGCUAGAUGUUUAGAAUUUCUUUACAUAGUUUGAACCGGAUAGAAAAUUCAUAUUGUUUUUUUUUUGAAAUCAAGGGUUUCUUGUUUGGGUGCAGUACAACCAUACCUGACGGGUAUAAAAUCCGCAUGUUUAGGUCUUGUUUAGUUUCAAAAUUUUUAGAAAAUAAGCAUCAUAGUAUUUUCUUUUGUAUGUAACAAAUAUUGUCCAAUCAUAAACUAACUAGGCUCAAAAGAUUCAUCUCGCAAAUUACAAAUAAACUGUGUAAUUAGUUUUCAUCUAUGUUUUAUAUAUGUGUAUAAAAAUUAGUUUUUGUUUUCAUCUAUAUUUUAUAUAUGUAUAUAAAAAUUCGAUAUGACAGAAAAUUUUGAAAAAAAUUGAGUUUUGGUGAGGAACUAAACAAGGCCUAGAAUUGGGACGAAUUUGAUUACAAUUUCGGAUACCGGUUGUCAUGUGUACCGGCCCAUCGUCCCAUCUCAUUCCGAUCUGACCGUCUCGCCCUCGCCCUCGCCCUCGCCCUCGCCCUCGCCCCCGCAGGCCCGCACCCAGCAGUAGCAGUCCAUUUCCACGGUUCUUCUUCGCGAACCGCCACCGCCACGCCACCUCACCCACCAGCUCGCCGGAGAUCACGAGAGGGGCCAGGACCCGCCCGCAAUCCUCGACGCCGCCCGCCCGCCCGCCAUGGGGGACGCCGCCUCCGGCCGCGGCCACGUCGUCUACCCUCCCCGCUCCGCCGAGGACAUCUUCAAGGACUACCGCGCCCGCCGCUCCGCCAUCCUCCGCGCCCUCACUCACGGUCAGUGACUUCGACUCUCCCCCUUCCGCUACCCUGAACCCUAAUAACCCACUUGAAAGCUCGAACCCCAACCUUACCCGAUUGCUCCCUCGUUUCGUUCGCAGAGGUCGAGGUCUUCUACGCGCAGUGCGAUCCAGGUGAGUUGCGCUUCGGCGUCGCCCCUCUCGAUCUCCCUUCCUUGUUCCGGGCGAACCGCGGUGCGAUUGAUUUGUGUUGAGGGGGCUUGAGCAGACAAGGAGAACCUGUGCCUGUACGGCUACGCGAACGAGGCGUGGGAGGUGGCGCUGCCGGCGGAGGAGGUGCCCACGGAGCUGCCGGAGCCUGCGCUCGGGAUCAACUUCGCGCGCGACGGGAUGAACCGCCGCGACUGGCUUGCGCUCGUCGCCGUCCACUCCGACUCCUGGCUCCUCUCCGUCGCCUUUUACUAUGCCGCUCGCCUCAAUCGUAAUGACCGGUACGCUGCCUCCGACCGCUCCCCCACUGCCUUACUUCUCUCAUCACGGUGUUUCUGUUAGGGUUCAAUGCUUCCUGUGUUGCGCUAGCUUGAUCCGUUGACGGAAAUUUCAGAAGCGCAUCGCAUCGUGUUCCUUUUCUUUUCUUACACACAAAAGUAUUAACUGAAUUAACUGAAUCCAUAAAUUCACGAUGGAUGGAAUGGAAAUUUGGAUUAUGUGGACAGUUUGUGGAUCUCAUAGAGCAAUAGUUUUGGUCGCAAGGAUUUGUGAUUCCUGGUUGCCAGUAAUUAUACUAGGAUGCAUAAUUUUGAUUGAUGUUUCCUAACUCAUGAGGAUUUCGACCUGUGCACUUAAGUGGAGAAGGUGAAGCUUAUUGACUCUCUCAGCAGUAGUUUGAUGCAAAGGGCACUGCUGUUUUUGUUUUCCAGUGAUAGUUUACACGUUCAAGUCUAGGGUAGUUGGGGAGCUUGCUUUCUAAAUAAAAACACAGCUACAGAGACUCGCACAGCCUCAUAAAGCAGACUUCGGACAAGUUUGGUUGUUUACCAUUAGUUGCUGAACGGUUAUGAGCUCAGGAAGUAAUGACAUCACGAGAAGGUAGGUAUUUUCACGGCUUUCUGUGUCUUUGAUGAUAGUGAGUUGACCGAGUUCUGAAUUCUGGUAGCCACAUGCUUGUGCUGGAAUCUUCUUACCUGUGUCAAUUAACAUCUUCACACAUUAGUCAUCUCAGUAUUUCUACGGUCUCUCUGUAAACAGUAGUCCCAAACUCCAUGUGUUGACUUCGGCUAGUUGAAGGCUAGCUUCAAUGUUUAUGUCAUGCCAACUUUCUAAAGGCACUUUCCACAGGGAAAAGUAAUAUUUGGUGGAAGCUGUGAAUCUGACAAAUUUUGCACUUGUUGUGCUUCUUAUUUAACUUCUGCGAUAUUUUGGCAUGACAAUAUUGGCAUAAACAUUAGUGUCCUGGCCGAGGUCGGGUUUACUUUGUAUCAAUACGCUAGUCUAUUGUAUGGUGUGACUGUGUGUGUUGUAUGGGUUCCAAACCCUUUUUCUUCUUAAUGUAAUAAUACACGCUGUCCUGCUUGUUCAAGAAAAAACAUUUAUGAGGUCUUUGGUUAAUUAUUGAUGUCCUGGUCUCCUGGAUGGUUGGAUACACCCAAACAAUUAAAGGUUACCCACCUACUAUAAGGAAAUUCUUUUAUUAGAGAGAGACAUUUCAUGAAUCAUGAGUGUUAUGGAUUUGGAGAAUCAAGAAUUUCUCUGCCAAUGGUGGCUACUGAAUUUGCAUUUAUGCUGAUAUUCUCUCUGUUAAUAAAAGAAUUUGACAUCUCUUUCCAAACCCAACCCAACUCUUCAAGCAAAUCCUGUUAAUCACUUCCAAAUUCUGAAUUAUGAGACACCUGCAGCCUUACAUCUUAUAAUUUCAUUGCAACUGUGCAUAUUAUUUUCUUAGAAAUUUGUGUUCAAAUUCAUAACAGCGAUUAACCCCUUGUCUCCUAGCACCUCCUGUGCAUAUUAUUUUCUUUCUUUAUUUUUUUGCAAAGAGAACCAACAUGUAGAGUGUGAUUUGUUGGUGUCAGAAAUAAUCUUGUAAUAAGAGAUGAAUAAACACAUCUACAAUCUACAUGCAUCUAUGGAGAUGAGGUGUUCUUGUCAAAGAGAAAAUUGAUUCGUUGCAUGAGCUAAUGGCUAGCUAACAUUUGGUUGCGAAGUUUGUUUUGAAGUUGAGCUGUAAAAGUAGUACAACUGAUGGUGAGGUGUGCUGUUUAGGUUGUCAAUGUAGCACUCUGGUUACCGUAGCAAACCAACUUACAGGACGAUAAAGGCUACAACACCCUUAUGACUGAGAGAAUAGAAAUUAAAGCCACAUGAGAGAUGGAUAAAAUGUAGAUGCUUGUGAUGUGAAGUCAUUAGAUACUAGAUGAGAGAUCAUGUAAGCUUGUGUAUGUGAUAUGAUCAAUUGUCAAGCUAGUAGUGUUUGGUUGUGAAGAUCAAGCUAGUAGUAGUGCUAUCAAGCUAGUAGUAGUGCUUGGUUGUGAAGAUCAAGCUAGCAGUAGUGAUUCGUUGUAAAAAGUGAGUUCUGUAAGCUUUGUAGGUUGAGCUAGUUACUUGUGUUGUUCUCUCAUAUUUGUGUGGAUCAAGAUAGAGAGCAAAGAGAGGAAUUGUGUGAUUCAUUUCCAACAAAGAGAAGAAAAGAGUGAUUCUGUUUAUAACAGUUGAAAGCUGUGUUUCAUCAGUGCAAGUUAAAAUAGAGUACGUUUAUUUAUUUAUCUGAAGAGCAAUGGAGUUUUGGAGAAAUUAUACCAUACCGAAAUAUAUGUAAUGCUCUGUUUAGAGUUACAGCACAGUUAUUUGUGCUCCCACAGUUUGAAAUUGGUAAGGAGUAUUUUGUUUCGUUAGGACAAGCCUUUGACCAAAAAAUUGUAUUAAUACACAGUUUUUUGUAAUACAAAAUUAAUGCCACUAGAUUAUGACUUUAAUCACAUAAAUGACAUCAAUAGAGUAAUUGUUGGUAAAAAUUUGUCAUAAUGGAACGAAAUAUGGCUACUAAUUUCAAAUGGAGAGAGUGUUUACCAAAAAAAGUAGAGCAUUCUUUGCUCAAGAGGUAUGUGGGUUAAUAACAUAAGGAGCACAUGUUUGAUAUUUACAGCCUGUUAUCUUAUUCAAUUUGUGUGUUCUUGAUUUUUAUAUGGAAUAUGGACAUAAAGUUCUCAAGUUGUGUUUUGCACUGCGCCUUUUUUUUUCUAUAGUAAUUUACAUCAGAUAUGAUAAGUGUGCUAAUGCACAUGCCUAUGGUAGUUUAGACUUUAGAGUCUAUAAUCUGCAGUUCCUUUUUUUAAUGAUAAUACUCAUAUAAAUACUGUAAUCUGUGUGAAUGCUGUACUAGCAACUUGGAGGAUAAACUUUUUCCCUCUUUUAAUGAGUGAGUUUUUUUUUGGGGUGGUGGUGGGGGGGGGGGGGGGGUGUUGGUUUCUUGUGGAUUCGUUAGUCAUUUUAAAUCAAUGUGAACCCAGACUAGCAUGAAACUUUUUGGUACUGUUGCACCAAGAGUAGCAUUCGUUUCUUUUUUUUCAGUUGUACAAUGCCUGUUUUUUCGAUGAUGAUGAUGUUGUCACACAGUCACAGUGAUCUGAGUACUGCGAACAUAGUCUUUGAUUAUAUACUUAUUUAUGCAAAUUUGAAAGGAUAGAUAUGUUGCGGUGCCAUUAGUUUGUUUAAAUUCCUGUUUACUUAAGUCUAUGUAGCUAAUAUCUUACUGCUUUCACUGUCAUCCAACAGGAAGCGCUUAUUUGGCAUGAUUAAUGAAUUGCAAACUGUUUUUGAAGUUGUCUCCGGUGCAAGACAACAGCAAUCUAAAGAGAGGUCCAGUAUGGACAAUGGUGGUAGAUCCAAGCCUGUAAAGGUAAAAGAUAUUUGUUAUUGAUGCUACCAUUGUUUCACUCUACAUCCAAUUUAUUUCUCACACCGCGACCAAAACAUGAUUGGCAGAUAGAAAAUAAUGGAAAAGCCACAGACGAAGCAUAUGGAGAAGAUGACAGUGAUCACGGUGAAACCCUAUGCGGAACCUGUGGUGGGAUAUACAGUGCGGAUGAGUUCUGGAUUGGGUGCGACAUGUGCGAGAGGUGGUACCAUGGCAAGUGUGUCAAGAUAACUCCCGCCAAGGCGGAUAGCAUAAAGCAUUACAAAUGCCCGAGCUGCAGCUCCAAGAGGGCGAGGCAGUAGCAAAACUCAUGAACGCAGGAAGCCUCUGAAUGCCGGAUGUAUGGUGCAGUGGCGCAUUGCAAAGUUUCCAGGCAGGAGAAGGCCAAGAGGCUCCAUUUACAAGAUUAGAACUAUAUUGCUAUCUUCCCUGUGCCUUAUUCUUACUUUACCUAUGAUAAGCUAAUGUGAGGUAAGAUAAGACAUUUGAUAACCAGAGGCACUUGAGUUGAGUACCCCUAUGAUAAGCUAAUGUGGGGUAAAAGAAGAGGAAAUCGUGCUUUAUUGAAUAUGGAGUUGUUUUUUCUUACAGUAACAUGUACCCCUUUUGAUAAUGCAUGGCUUUACAGAACAUCUCGAACUAUAUAGGAACAGAAGGUUAAGUUUUGUCAAAACUGUUUUGUCUAUCGGUCGGUCAGUGGCAUAUUGAUUGCUACGCAAAAUACAUAUGUACCAAAGGAGAAGCACAAGUAGAAUAAAUGGACCAUACAUGAAAAGGAA